rnacentral:lncRNA from 1 species
UUUUUUUUUCUUCUGUUUGUUUUUGUUUAUUAUUGUUUUACUUCUUUGUGGAUGACUUACCUUGUUCUAGUUUAAUUUUUAGUUUUUAAGAGUCCUGAAUAGUUAUGUUAUUUUAAUUGUGAAUUUUGGUCCGGUUGAAUUUGUAAAUUGAAGUUCUCCACCAUUUUUCCCAAACCAAUUUCUGAUAUUUGUUGCAUUAGCUUCGAUUUGUUUUUUUAGCUUUUAGUUUUUUAGUUUAAGUUCAACUUAGUCUAAUGUCGAUUAAUAUUUGGAUAAUAGUUUUUAGUUUUCAAUUCUGACUUGUUUCAAAUGGUAGAAUGGCAUGGUAGUUACAGCUUUGCAUGUUUUCUUUUAAGUUAUAUUCAACAGAUAGCUUGAAUUUUGGUGCAGUAGUAUUUUGAAUUUGAGUUGGACUUUUGGUUGUUCUUGAUUAAUGGUUCAGGGUUUAAUCAUGGUUUGGUCAUAACUGAUAGUUAGGUAGUAGUUAAUUUUAGGACUUAGCUUAGUAAAAUAGUAAUUUCAGCACAUUAAAGGGGUAAUAUAGGGUUUUAGUUGGUUCUGGUAAUUUUAGGACUAAAAUAAGGGUAGUAUAUGUAUCUUAUAUAUAAGAAACAACGCUAGAAUCUUUUAGACCCUUCUAGAGGGGACUGUAGGCUAAAAAUCAGUAGUUUAGUGCAGUAACUUGGGAAACAAGUCAGAAAAUAAGGGACCAAGUAGGUGAAAUCUAAAAAUUAAAAGAGGGGCUAGUAGUUAAAAUGAAAUAGAAGGGCUGCCUUAGCCUUUGGCUAUAAGGGCAACCCAAUUCAUUCAAAGGGAGGUUGGACAGUCUAAAGAAAUCUCUAAAAAAUUUUGAGCAAUAGUUAAAAAAUCAUUUCUCCAACUUCUGCAAUUAUAACCUAAUUCAAAGAAAAAAUAAAAAAUGUUAGUUUAGUUUGAAUGUUUUGGAGCUUUUCCUUCAAAACCUGGACAUUUAGAUCUUUGCAAACGAGCAAAAAUUCAAAAUGCACUAUUCCCAUUGAAGAGUGGUUGUGUUCAGGGUCUAUUUUUGUUUUGUUUCUGGGCUUUGCAUCAAUCAAUUUGGUUUUUAGUUGUUCCUGGAGUUCGUGGGUUUGAUUUCAAGUUGUUUAAAGGCCGUGUUGGUUCAAUUUAGUUUUGUUGUAAAUUGGGGCUAUUAGAUUGGUCUCUUUGCUAUGUUGCUGUCCAUUUCUUCCUGUUGAUUGCUUUGUUGCUCAGUGCUGACCCAUGUUCUUCACAUUUUGAUUUCAUUCCAGGUAUUUGCUCCAUUUCUAAUGGCCAAAGGCCAAGGAAUUGGGUAUUUGUAGCUGUACAUUGAUGUUUGCCUGUAAUUUGAGUGUUCAGCUGUCAAAAAAUCAUGUACUCAUAUGGAUUGUAUAUUUUUCAUACAUUGAUUUGUUUUGAGUAUUUUAAAUGUGCAAUGUAUAUUAAUCAAGCUUGUAUAAUUGGACUGUACAUGAUAUCACGUUUUUAACUUCCUAGUUAGAAUUAAUUCAUCAUGUGCUUACUUUAAAAAUGAACUCCAAGGACCAGUUGUAUUUCGAACUAGUUUUCUUACAUUAUUAUUAGCUUAAGAUCUCUUUGGUUAUUGUCAUUCUUUUCAAGUUUGAAUUAGGUGUAUUGUUGAGUUUAAAUAAUAUGAUUUGAUCAGUUGUUUAUAGCUGGCAUUCAGAAAUGUUACAAAUUAAGACUUGGGCUCAUUCAGGAGCCCAGCAGGUCUAAAGUUUGUUUCAGCAGCCCACUCAGGCUGUUGACAUUUGCUGAAGGAUUUUACGAAGGUUGGAUCUAUUUCCAACUUGGGCCCAGUAGCCCAGUAUGUUGAAGAUUGUCUGCACAUCCCUCUUGUCAAUUUAAUUUUCAAUAUAUAUAUUUGGGCUUUGAGUAGGGUAGCCGGUUUAAAAAUGAGAUUUAAUUAAGUUUUCGAGGCAUGUCUAAUAGAAAAUAAUUGUCGACUCUAGGAUAUUCCUUUUAAAAUAAAAACGAGAUUUUCCACUCAAAAGGAAUCCAAAAUUGUGUGGCGCUCGCAAAAUACUUAUAUGGAAAUACGUAGAAUUUUGGGACAUGCCGUUUAGCAAAUUUUACAAUUUUGCCGCAAAGAUAAUAAUGCGUUAAUUUCUUUUGGGCACGUCUUUGAUAAUUUUAUCUUCUUAAUUAUGGGUGCGCAUUUAUGCGACCCAAAUCCAAAUCUCAAUGAAGUUGAAAUGUGUCAAAAACCACGAAUGCAUUUAUGUGACAUGGUUCGAGACAUGUUCUAGCAAUGUUGCAAUUAUCUUAAAAAAUAAUAAUAAAGUGGUUAAAAGAUUUGAAAUGCACAUAGGUUUAUAAUUUUAUAAAAUCAUAUAAUUUAAGCCAAAUAUAACAAUUGAGCGACCGUGCUAGAACUAUGGAACUCGAGAAUGACUAACACCUUCUCCCGGGUUAACAGAAUUCCAUACUCGGAUUUCUGGUUCGCGGAUUGUUAAACCGAGUCAUUCUUUAAUCGGUUUGGGAUUCUAAACGAUGACUUGGGACACCAUAAAUCUCCCAAGUCGUGACUCUAAAAUUCUCUUAAAUAAUUGAAUUCCAUUUCGAUUGUCCUUUAAUUGAAAAAACUCCUUUAUCUACGCCCUUCGCGGGGUUGUAGUGGCCAAAUGGUGGUGUGACAACCAGUACAGAGAAUUGUUGCUUGCAAGAAAGAUUUAAUUGCUUGAUCCCCCUUAAUAAUGCUUAAAAAAGAGUCCAAAAUUACAAGGCUAGACUUGAAUACGCUAGAGAAACAUAAUGGAAGCACUCGAAAUUAAAGUACUCUAUUUACAAUGAAAAUGACUUAGUUUUCUAUGAGGCAACAAUAGGUCCAUUAUCUGUAGCAUUGUCUUUGGCAUCACAAUCUGCGUGCGCAUGAUAACUUAGGAGUUUAACAUGUUUUAUGCCCCUACUUAUCUAUGCUUUGGUUAUUAAUUGCUAUAAAAUAAUCCAAAAAUGCUCACAAGUUGUGCUUGAUUGCAGGUUUCAUCGAUGAAGUGACAAAAUAUCAAAGAUUGGCUCAAAAGGAGUGAAACCUACUCAAGCAUCAAAGAUUAAGUAAAUUGAGGAAAAGAGGGCCUAGUGCAUGCCGUGCAAAAGUCAGCGCUACCGCACUAGGAGAUUCAAAGAGUGUAGAAUCAGGCUGAAGGCUAUUCGGCCGCGGUACAUUUCUCGUGGUAAGGCUUCCGAGACCGCACUAUGCUUUUGUGCAGUCUAUGGUUAAGAGAUUCAGAGGACAAUCAGUUGGCCAAGACAAUGCCAUGCGGUUCACGAUUGUCAGAGCGCGGACCGCGCCAGAUCCCCCUCAUGGCCGUGGUGCACUUCCACGCGGUCUGCGUCCUCAUGUUCAGAGAAGCAACAAUGUGAAGUCCAAGAGCGAGUGCGGCCUCGGUCCAUUUUGUACGGCCCGCACUGACCCCGUAGGGGUAUUUUUGUCCAGUUUUUCCUGCCUAGUAUAAAUAAAAUAUUUUACCAUUUCUAGGUCAGCAUUUGUACUCCAGACUAGCUGCGCUCGUGAGACUCAGUUUUGUAGCCAUUUUUGGCACUUUUGCUUUUCAUUAACGAAAGAUUAGUGUAGUUUCUUCUUAGUAAUCAAUUGAUAUGCUUAGUUCUUCAUCUUUUUCUUUAAUUUCUGUAUCUAACAUGAGUAGCUAGACCCAUUAGCUAGAGUUGUGGCUCAAUCUUUGUGUGGGUAAUUGAUGGAUGUCUCCAUCUAGGGUUAGAUUGACCAUGGGUAAUGGCUAUUUGGGGUGAUUUUAUGUUUUAAUUGAGAAUUGAUGGUUGCAAACACUGAUUCAAGCUUUGUGGUUUAACUCUUCUUGAGAAAGAGAGUCUAUGACCCCACAGUUGAGCCAACAAAGAAUUGGGAUGGACUUAUGAAAAAUGAUAGUUCCAAUUAACGGGUUAAAUCUCAAGAGAGUAAUCACCCAACUUGAACGCUAGUUGCUUGGUCUAGUUUGCCUACCCAUUUGGUCUCGAGAGAGUCAAUUGGGAAAAAUUACUCUCUCUACCAAGAGGUGUGAGAGUGGGUAAAAUUGUGCAAUGAUUAUAGCAUAAGUCCCAAAUGUGUCAAUCAAAUCCUAGUAACUUCCACCCAUCAAUUUGCCACCUAGGUAGUGUCACGACCCUGAUGCGUUUCUUCCAAUUAAAUACAACUUAGAAAUAUUCUCGUACCAUAAUUUUGUGUUAAUCACUAGUUUUAUAAAAGUAGUUAUAUUUGAAAAACCCAAAAAUGUUUGUAGUGACAUUAGGAGUACAAACACAUCUUUAGACUAGACAGAAAUUCCAACUACACUACUAGCUCCCUGAGGAAAUCGAUCCCGACUUCUAUUCGGGUAAAAUCUAUCGAGGUCACUUUUUGGCGCCGUUUCCGGGGAGCUUACGGUGUUCACUAUCUUAUUAUUUAGUUUUGUAUUUUGUCUCUCUUUCCUUCUUUUUUACUAAUUUUGUUGUGUCGAUUACUUAGGUACACAUGGCUCGCAAUGCAAAGGACCCUCUUGGCAAUGUCAUGGCGGGGGAGGAGGUUGAUGAUCUUGACCAAGAAGAGGUUCCUAAUUUACCUCAAACUCCAUGUAGAGGCUGUCAGGCCAAUGCAAAUGACAACAAUCCUAUCCCAUACCCUCAUCCGCCACCACCAAGAGUCAUCCCAAGAGUUCUCCUAAAUCAAGUAUAUGCUAGUGCUAUUGUUCCUCCCUAAAUACAGGCAGGGAACUUUCAAAUCACAAAGGUCAUGUUGACCUUGCUCGAGCAAAGAGGAUACUUUUCGGGCACCUCCGAUCAAAAUGCAUACAAGCACUUGAAGGGGUUCGUAGAUAUGCUGGGGUACCAAGAAGACAAACGUGUCCGAGGAUGCUAUGAGAUUGAGUCUUUUCCCAUUCUCUCUUCGGGGUAAAGCAUUGGAUUGGUUAGAAAGGCUCCCGAAUAAUUCCAUCACAACUUGGGAUGAGUUGGCGGAUAAAAUCAUUGUCAAGUUUUUCUCACCAAGUCAUAUGGCGGCACUUCGGGAUGAAAUCUUAGCCUUCAAGCAAGAGCCAACGGAACCUUUGCAUGAAAUUUUGGAGAGAUAUAGAAAAAUGGUGAAGGAAUGCCCCAAUAUGAUAUGGCAGAGAAUAUCUUGCAACAAACUUUAUACCGGGGCAUCAAUACUACAAAUCAAUGCAUAGUGAAUCAAUUGGCGGGGUUAAUUUUAUGAAGUUGACUUAUGAUGAAGCUUGUGCCAUUCUUGAUGAGAUAGCGGAAACAUUCUCCGUAUGGCAAAGUAGAUCUAACAUUCCUCAAGGUUACCCUAUGGUUAUUCAUUUGCCUAAGGAGUUGCAUGACCAUGGGCAAGCUAUAGAAGAGUUGACAACCACUAUGAACCAAUUGGUGAAGGCGCAAUUGCAACAAGUCCAAAAUCCGAGCCAAGUCAACGUCAUGAAGGUUGUUUCUAUGCUAAAAAGGAGGCAAAGAGGGCAACAACCUCAAGGAAAUUCUGAAUAAUAUGACAACAAUGAUGGUGGUGGUUUUUUGAAUGAGUGCUAUGAUGAUCAAAGUGAAGAGGUCCAAUAUAUUUACAAUUACCAAGGGAAUAGAGGCAACUCUUCGAAUCAACCAUGGUGUCCCCAAGGAAAUUGGGGCAAUCAACAACAAGGUGGUGGUAAUUGGAACAAUAACAAUCAAAGCAACAAUUGGGGAAAUCAAUAAGGCGGUAGUAAUUGGAACAACAACAACCAAGGCGGUAAUUGGGGUAAUCAAGGUAAUUGGAAUGGGAACUACAAUAAUUGGAGCAACAACAACAAUCAAGGAGGGUGGAAUAAUAGUGGGAACCAAGGAAACCGAGGGCAAGUCUUCCAAUGGCCCCACAUGUACAAACAACCGAACAAUCCACCCCUUUUUCCUUCUCAAGGUCCAAGUUCUUCCGGGAGUGAUAUGGGGAGAAUUGAAAGUAUGUUUGAGCAAAUGAUUAAAAGGAACCAAGAUUUCGAUGCACAAUUGGAUUCGCAUAACACAUCUAUCCGAAACUUGGAAGUGCAACUGGGUCAAAUUUCUCAAGCUUCGAACACUCGCCCCAAGGGUGCCCUACCAAGUGAUACGGUAGUGAACCCGAAGGGUGGGAAUAACAACCAUGUGAUGGCGGUUACAACUAGUAGUGGAAGAGGCAGUGAUGUGCAUGCCUCGAGAGAAAAGCGAGUUGUGGAGGAUGAUGUUGUGUUGCAUGAUGAUGAUGUGCCUAUGAAUGUUGAUGAUAUGGUUGACAAAAAUGUAAAGAGGCAGUGAUGUGCAUGCUUUGAGAGAAAAGCAAGUUGUGCAUGAUGAUGUUGAGUUGCGGAUAAUGAUGUACCUUUGAUUGUUGAAGAUGCGGUUGAGACCAAUAUGAACAAUGAAGUGAGGAUAGAUAUCGAUGAGGCCAAGGUGGAAACACAAGAUGUCGUGAACCUAUCUAGGGAACACAUGAUUGAUAUGCCCAAGCCGGUGGUGCCUAAAGCCAAGACACCCUUGCAUAGGCUACCUCCAUUAUAUCCUCAAAGGCUCGCAAAGCAAAGAAAUGAUAAUCAAUUUAAGAAAUUCAUUGAUAUGAUGAAGAGUUUGUCCAUAAAUGUGCCUUUGGUGGAGGCACUUGAACAAAUUCCGAGCUAUGCAAAAUUCAUGAAGGACUUUGUUACAAAGAAGCGGUCCAUGGAUUGUGAAACAAAUAAGAUGACUUAUCAACUGAGUGCCAUAGUGCAUUCAAUGGCACCUAAGCUUGAGGAUCCAAGAGCUUUUACUAUCCCUUGUACUAUCGGAAUUGCAGAUUUUGCUAAGGCCCUUUGUGACUUGGGGGCUAGAAUUACCUUUAUGUUGUACUCGGUCUUCAAGACUUUGGGAAUUGGGAAACCUCGAACUACCUCAAUGAGACUUCAAAUAGUGGACUGAUCGAUGAAACAACCCUUGGGCAUAAUUGAUGAUGUUCUUGUUUGUGUUGAUAAAUUCAUAUUGCUGGCUGACUUUGUCAUAUUGGAUUGUGAGGUAGAUUAUGAGGUGCCGAUUAUAUUGGGUAGACCUCUCCUUUCAACGGGGAAGGCAUUGGUUGAUGUUGAAGCGGGUGAAUUCACUUUUUGAGUGGGUGAUGAGAAUGUCAUCUUGUAUGUAUGCAAAUCCAUGAAGCAGCUGAAUUGCACCGAGGUGAAUUUGUGGACAUUGUCACAACUGUGAUAGUGGAUGACACAAGUUCUAUGAUCAAUGUUGAAGAUCCCUUUGAAGCCUUACUUCUCAAUAUGGAUGUAAAUGAUGAUGCUAGUAGGGUAGAAUGCGUGAAUGCAUUGCAUGGUAUGGGUUCAUAUUCAUAUGAGCUUAGGAAGUUAUCUUUGGAUCUUGAAAAUCGAAAAACUCCACCAACAAAGCCAUCAAUUGAGGAUCCACCGAUGUUCGAGUUGAAGCCACUUCCUCCACACCUCAGGUAUGAAUUUUUGGGUUCAAAUUCUACUUUACUAGUUAUCCUUUCUUCUUGCCUUACUAACAUGCAGGUUGAGGAGUGUUGGGUUGAAGCCACUUCCUCCAUACCUUAUAUGAAGUUUUGGGUUCAAAUUCUACUUUACCAGUUAUUCUUUCUUCUUGCCUUACCAACAUGCAGGUUGAGGCCACACUGGCGGUUCUUCAAAAGUGAAAAAGGGCAAUUGGAUGGAAACUAGCUAACAUUCGGGGAAUAAACCCUGCAUUUUGCAUGCACAAAAUUAUCUUGGAGGAGAAUGCAAAGCCUUCCUUGGAGCAUCAAAUAAGACGAAAUAAGGCGAUGCAAGAAGUGGUGAAGAAAGAAGUAAUCAAAUGGAUAGAUGCGGGUGUGGUUUAUCUAAUCUCUGGUAGUUCAUGGACUUCUCCGGUCCAAUGUGUGCCAAAGAAAGGAGGGAUGAUGGUGGUGAAAAAUGACAACAGUAAUCUUAUUCCCACUUGAACCAUUACCGGGUGGAGAGUUUGUAUGGACUACCGGAAAUUCAACAAGGUGAACCUGAAAGGAUCAUUUCCCGUUGCUGUUCCUAGACCAAAUGCUUGAUCGCCUUGCGGGAUGAGUCUUUCUAUUAUUUUUUGGAUGGGUAUUGGGGCUAUAAUCAAAUCUUAAUUUCCCUAGAAGACUAAGAGAUGACCACUUUCACAUACAUAUAUGAUAAAUUUGCCUUCUCCCGGAUUCCAUUCGGGUUGUGCAAUGCUCUGACGACCUUCCAACAUUGCAUGAUGGAUAUUUACACCGACAUGGUGGAAUAUAUAUUGGAGGUCUUAAUAGAUGAUUUUUAUAUGGUUGGUGAUUCCUUUGAAGAGUUCUUGGUAAACUGUGAUAGAGUCUUGGCUCAAUGUGAAGAAACUAAUCUUGUUCUCAACUGGGAAAAAUGUCAUUUUAUGGUGGAAGAAGAUAUAGUGUUGGGCCACAAGAUUUCUAAGCAUGGGAUUGAGGUAGACAAGGCUAAAAUGGAGGUUAUUUCUAUGCUUCCUCCCCCUACUUCUGUAAAAGGGGUAAGGAGUUUCCUUGGGCAUGUCGGAUUCUACAGGCAGUUUAUCAAACAUUUCUCGAAGGUUGUGAAUCCCCUUUGCAAGUUGCUAGAGAAAGAUGCAAUGUUUGUUUUUGAUGAAAAAUUCAUGGAGACCUUUGAAAUUUAUAAGCACAAGUUGACACCACCCCGAUCGUUACUGCAUCCAACUGGAGUUUGCCCUUUGAGCUAAUGUGCGAUGCUAGUGACAUUGCGGUUGGGGUUGUUUUUAGCCAAAUGAUCAACAAAAUGUUACAUCCAGUGUACUACGCAAGAAAAACCAUGAAUGAGGCUCAAAGAAACUAAACAUUCACCGAGAAAGAGUUAUUAGCUAUUAUUUUUUCCAUGGAAAAGUCCUGACCUUACCUUUUUGGGGCCAAAGUCAUAGUGCACACCGACCAUGACGCACUUAGGUAUUUGAUGAUCAAGAAAGAUUCCAAGGCAAGAUUGAUAAGAUGGGUGUUAAUUCUCCAAGAAUUUGAUCUAGAAAUUAUGGACUGAAAAGGUAGCGAGAAUCUAGUGGUGGAACACUUGUCCCAUUUGGAGGAAGAUGGGAGGCCUUGUGAUGGGCUAGAAAUCAAUGACUCAUAUCCCGACGAACAACUCCUUACAGUGUCAAUGAAUGAUAUGCCAUGGUUUGCCGAUGUUGCUAAUUACCUCGUGAGCGGAAUAUUCCCGUGUGAGCUCUCUUCUAACCAAAGGAAGAAACUCAAGCGGGAUAGCUUGGACUUUUGUUGCGACGAGCCAUAUUUGUUUAAGAUUUGCACCGAUGGUGUGAUUCGACAUUGUGUCUUGGAGGAGGAUCAAUUGGGUAUUUUGUAUGCUUGUUACUCCUCCCCCUAUGGUGGCCAUCAUGGAGGGGCGAGGAUGGCCUCUAAGGUGCUUAGUUGCAGAUUUUAUUGGCCUACCUGUUUAAAGAUGCGAGUGAUGUGGUCAAGAGAUGUGAUGAAUGCCAAAGAGCCGGCGGUAUUUCUAAAAGGGAUGAGUUUUCUCUCAAUACAAUUCUCGAGGUGGAUAUUUUUGAUGUUUGGGGCAUCAAUUUCAUGGGUCCUUUCGUGAACUCUUGUGGGAACCCUUAUAUUCUCGUGGCGGUGGACUAUGUCUUAAAGUGGGUUUAAGCUGUGGCUUUACCCAACAAUGAAGCUCAGAGUAUCGUGGCAUUUUUGAAAAAGAGUAUCUUUACAAGGUUUGGAUUUCCUCGUGCUAUCACUAGUGAUCGGGGGUCUCACUUUUGCAACAAGGCUUUUGAUUCAUUGCUUGCCAAGUAUGGAGUAAAUCACAAAGUUACCACCCCUAUCAUCCUCAAGCUAGCGGUCAAGUGGAAGUCUCCAAACGGGAAAUAAAGAGUAUCUUGUACAAGACAGUCAAUGCUAAUAGGACCGAUUGAUCAAAAAAGUUGGAUGAUGCUCUAUCGGUGUAUCAGACGGCUUAGAAGACCCCAAUUGGUAUGUCCCCGUACCUGUUGGUGUUCGAGAAAGCUUGCCAUCUUCCGGUUGAAUUGGAGCAUAAAGCUAUGCGGGCCUUGAGGAAGUUGAACUUGGAAUGGGAUAUUGCGGCGAAUCUCCAUGUUGAACAACUUAAUGAGCUUGAUGAGCUUAGAUUUCAUGCCUACUCUAGCUCAUCCUUGUAUAAGGAUAAAAUGAAGUAUCUUCACACCAAAUAUGCUCGGGGAAAGGAAUUAAAAGUUGGUGAUAUGGUUCUUAUUUUCAACUCCCGGUUACGUCUGUUUCUGAGAAAGUGUUUAGCAUUCAUGCCUACUCUAGCUCGUCCUUGUAUAAGGACAAGAUGAAGUAUCUUCACCACAAAUAUGCUCGGGGAAAGGAAUUUAAAGUCAGUGAUAUGGCUCUUCUUUUCAAUUCCCGGUUACAUCUAUGUCUGGGAAAGCUCAAAUCAAAGUGGAGUAGGACAUUUGAAGUUGUGUUCGUAACCCCAUUUGGUGCUCUUGAUCUAUGGAACAAGAAUGGUGAGGUAUUCAUAGUCAAUGGACAUCGUGUCAAGCAUUAUUUGGGGAAGUUUGAGAUAGCCAUGUGGCGGCACUCAUUCAUUUGAAGUGAUGUGGUGGUAACACGCGUCGUGCCGCGACGUUAAAUUAGGCGCUUCUUGGGAGGAAACCCAUGAAUUUUUCUUUCUCUUUGAUUUUCUUUGUAGUUUAGGAUUUCUGAGCUAAUUGAUUGUGAGAUGUUGCAGGGAUUGAGUUGAUGCAGUGCAAAAAAAAGUUGGAAACAUUGCACAUUCUCUGAAGUUUUCCAGUGCGGCCGCGAUACACAUUGUGCGCCGUACUGGCGUGAGCAAAAAGGGGUGCUCAUUGAAGUUCCCCACCGCGGUCACAUUCUAUUUAGUGCGGUCCGCGGUGGACCUCCAAAGCCGCAGUCUGCCUUUGUGUGGUCUGUAGAGGUUGCCUUCUGAAGCUUUACUUGAACAAACCAAGUGCAGUCCACGGUCGCUUCUGUGCAGCUGCUCUGGUAGGUAAGGAUGGGCCCCGCAUCUUUUUCUAUUAAUAGAACCUAAGGGCCUCAUUUUACACUUUUCGAACUUUGACUCCUCAGAGCCCUAAAACUAUUGUUCAUACUCUCACUGCUCGUAAUUCUUUCUUGCUUGGAUUAAUUUCAUUUCAUAUUCAAUCUGGUAACAAUUCCCUCAUCUUUCAUUGAUUACAUUUUAUAUUUUGAUUUUAUUCUCUUUCCCAGUAGUUUUAGCUUUUUUCUUCUUCUCAUUAGUUUCUUCUUCUUUAUUUAAUUCUUAGCGUAGGGUAGUUGUAAAUGCGAGGUUUGUGUGCUUUGUAUGCCUAAUCAAUGGGUAAAUUGAGCAGGGACAAAUUAGGUAUAAAAUUUUUGAACAGAAUUGGCAAAAAUGAAACCCUAACUUAGUGCCCAUGAACCCUAGUCUCCGCGGUACGCGGUCGCCUUAGCGCGGUCUUUGAUGCCCUGACGCGGACCGCGAUAACUUUCUGUGUGGACAACGAUACCCCUAUGUCUGUAAGUGAAUUUGUUUCUGGCAUGGCCGCAUUGCACUUUGUGCGGUCCGCGCUAGCCCACUGCGGCCGCGACUCCAUUUUGUGCAGACCGUGGUGGGUAUAUUCAGAGAGGUAAUUUUCUGUUCUUUUGCUUAAUGCGGACGGCAGUCUCUUUUGCACGGUCCCUGGUGCCCCCUUUGUGGCUGAACUCCUAUUUUUGAAGUCUUUUGUACCAGGUUCUGCAACUGUUUCUACAAUACUUCUUCUACUCUGUGCACGUCAUUUCCUUCACCUAUGUCAAUGCAUGUGCUUAAAAUAAAAAUGUUAGAUUUGUUUGCUUACAGACAAUGGUAAAACAAAGAGGCAAAGGUGCCAAACAACCUAGCCGAGGUGAUUCCUCCCGAGGAGGAAAAGGAAAAAGAGUGGUAAAACUCACUGUUCAAGUCCGAGAAAACAUCAAAAAGACCCGGAAGUUGAUAAAAGCUGCAGAUAAAGCUGCUUCCCAUUCCUCGGGGAGUGAGUAUAUGCCAUCUCAGGACAUCUCCUCUGAUUCAAUCCAAACUCACUUUUUCUCCAGUUUCAAAGUGACAAAUACCCCUCCAGCAUCACCUACUGCCAAGAGGCAGGUGAAUGUAGUUUCAGAUUCAUCUGAAGAGUCCGCAGCCGGUACUGAAGAAUACUACACCUCCCUUACAACUUCAUUAUCUGGGGAGAGCGCAUGCAGAAAUGAGGAGGAGGUACAAGGUGGUGAACCUCAGGUUAGAGGAAUUGAACGAACUAGGAAGGCCAAAGUAUGGGAGGAUAGAUUUGUGAGCCAAGUGGCUUGCCAUAAUUUUAGAGAGUGGUGGCCGGUGAUCCAUUUAAUACCAGAGAGGAGAUUUGUUAUCAAGGACUUGUUACCCCAUAACCCUGACGUGAUGAGGCAAUUUAGAAUAAGACCGGGCUGGGAGAUAUUUAGGGAUGAGUGUAUUGAUGCAAAUGAGCAUAUGGUUCUAGAAUUCUAUUGUAAUGUGGCUCAUAUUGUAUAAGGGUCGAAGGUGACCAAGGUCCGGAAUAAAAAGUUGUUGUUCACCAGGCAGGCCUUGAAUAAAUAUUUAGUCUUCAAUGAAGAGGACGAGACCCUAUAUCUGGAAAAUUUGGAGAUGGGUUAGGGGGUCUAUCCAGGGUUAGCCCAGUACUUGGCAAUCCCAUGUUUGAUUCAUGAGUGGUUGGCUGCGGAGGUGAAUAUUUUUAGGGGGACCCUAAACUUUGAGGCUACAGGUUGGGAGACUUUUGUUUGCAGCAGGCUAGACCUUACCACACAUGACCAAACUCUUCCUAUGUCCCAGGCUGUGUUGGUUGCAUCAAUCAUGGCGGGUUAACCCAUCAAGAUGGGGAAUGUGAUGUCCCAUAUCAUCUCUCUUGUGGGUGCGGCAGCUAACCAGAACUACCCUUUUCCCAAUACCCUCUCCAUGUAUUUUCGAGAUUUGAAAGUUGAGAAAAAGCCUUUGAUGUCAAAGCCAAACCAGUGGCCCCUUUAUCAUUGUAGAGUUUGAGGGGGCUAGACAACCCCAAGGAUAAAAACUUCAAGCCACUCGCCUCUACCCAAACUGGCCAGUCUGAGGAGCCGGUUGCGGUAUAGCUUCCCACUGAGCCUGCUGCUAAUACAGUUGAUGGUUUGUCUCCCGGACUUUCCACUACUGCUGGUCCGUCUGUUUUAGCUUGCUUGGAGAUCUCAUCCUCCUGGGCCCAUCCCAUGACUGCACAUCGACUAGGCCAGGCGCUGUCUAGUUUGAACAACUAGAUGUAAGCUGUGAUAUCCAAGUUGUCUACAUUGUCUUCUACUAUAGAGGCCUAGCCAGAACAUCAGAUAGUUCAGAUUCUUUAGUCCAUUAAGGAAACACUGAAGAAACUCCUAGAGAACCAAGAAAAGAUUAUGAGGAGACAAGAUGCUUUGACUAAGGCGGUGGCUUCAUACGCCAUGGUUCUAAAAGAGCUUUCCAAAGAGCACAAGAAGCUAUGCUAGACACGGAUCUGUAGAGAGUUUGUAAAGGAGCUCAGGGCAGAUGUAGCGAGAUUGAAGGCAGAUCAACUACUUUUAGAUUUCUUAUUUGAGGACCCAUCUCCACCAGCAGUUCCAGUAGUAGCCCCAGAUACAGAGUUGGUGUAGAUGACUCCAAAGAAGAGGUGGAAGAUCCCUAGUGCAGAUGAUGCUAUCAUCCAGUUGGCGGACCCACCAGAGGCUUCCUCUAGUCAGCCACAUGAUGUACCAGAUCUACAACCCGUACAGGUCCAGGACCCACUCCCAGCAGCUGAGAAGUAGGAGAUAGGGAACCAAUCAGAGGUUCCCACACAUACAGAGGACUAGGGGACCACCUGAUGAUCCCAUGCAGAUGGACCAGGCUUACAUAGUGUAUUUUCUAUUUUGGGUUGUAUAUAACUUUACAUUUAUUACUUGUAUCAUAUUAUCUUCUAUUUGGUCUGUGUAUAAAGUUACAUUUCUUUAUAUAUUUAUCCCCCAUUUUAUAUUCUUAUCCCCUACUGUACAUAUUCAUUCUAUUUUCUAUUUUCGCAAUUUUUUUAUUUUUAUAGCUUUUUAGAAGCUCGUAGCCUUUCGUUUUGUUUUUGGCCUUUUCAAUAAGCGCUUGGUUUUCUUAAUGCCACGAUUCUUUCCAAGGGUGGAGUAUUGGGUGAAUCGGGUGGCUCUUCCCAAUGAUAGAUGGCGUGACAACUUUCUUUAGGGUUUGAGUCCGUUUAUGUUUUAUUUUUGUUUUUGAUAGUUUGUAGUUAAGGGUACCCCAAGCAAAGCUUCACUUGGGCCUAGAAAAUUUGCCUUUGAUCCCAUGGUCAAAGACAAAAAUGUUGUGUUUCGGAUGGUGAAAGUCGUGGCCUUGAGACUCUUGUAUUGACCAAACAACCAUCAUGUGGCCUCUUCGGACCAUUGUGUGCUUGAAUAAUAACUAUGGUCAUUGUGUCCCUCAACUCGAUGUCUUUAGCAAUCCCCUAGUGUGUGUGGUGAGAAAUCGAAAUGCGAGUCCAAGUACCGAGCUAAUGGUCUAGAACUUGCCCUGAAUGUCGGUUGGGGAGAAAUCUUAGGUGAAGUUCGACUUGAGAAGUGCUUAUAGGCUCUCACUGAUCCAAAUUAUUGUUUGAACAAAUCCAUAGCCGACCAUUGAUAAGAUCCGUAUUCAACCUUUUGAGCCUUAGACCAUCUUCUUUCAAGAACCAUAAUACAAGCCUAUACUCGUUCUCAAUGAUACCCUCUCUUGGCAUCCAAAUCUUUCCUUUAGCACUUGGAAAAAGUAUAAAUUUGGGGGUAGAGAUGAGGAGUGAAACAAAGUCAUAAAAAGGCGCAUAAGUGAAGAAAAGGAAGGGCAAUGAAAAAGAAAGAAAAGAAAAAGACAAAUAAAGAAAGCCCAAUGCUACAAGAAUAAAAGGGGAUACAAGAAAAAAGAAAAGUGAAAAAGGUGUGGAAAACGUAGAAAAAGGAGAAAUGGUUUUUAAAUGCAUAAGAAAGAGUGACAAUGUGUCUCUCUAACCCCCCAACAAGAAAUUAAAAGUCUCAAAGAGUCAAGAGAAUUGUGAUAAAAGAAUAAAAAGAAGUUCUUAAGGGAAGAUUGAACUCACUUGAAUAAGAACAUGUCAUACCCUUACCCAAAAGCCUUCACAAUGACUCCACAAACGUCCUAUAUGAUAUUGAUUUGAAGGAAACCUACAUUAGUGGAUACUUACAUGAGGGGUAAGAUAUGGUACUUAGAGCCGGACUUGUGACCUUCUUCUUGAGAGAGAUGAGUGAAAUCUAUUAACCUCGGUUUAUGUGUCAAUACUUUAAAAGGUGAGCGACUCCACAGAAGCCCUAUAUGAUCUUGAGUUGAAAGAAACCUACAUUAGUGGAUACUUACAUGAGGGGAAAGCAUAUGGUGCGUAGAACCAGACUUGUGACCUUCUUCUUAAGAGAGAUGAGUGAAAUCCAUUAACCUCGGUUUGUGUGCCAAUACUCUAAAAGGUGAGGUUCGCUUAGGGAAAGUUGAGGAUGUAUGAGUUUGGGCUCCAAAAUGACCAAAGUAAUUGAGAGAAGCUCUUUGAUGUAAUGAGUCAACUGUUGAUCCUCUUGUUUCACACUUGAUUCAUGUUUUUGUAAAGACUAAAGCGUUAAUGAUACAUUCGUAUUUAGGGUAAUUGUUUGUCCCAAUUGAUUCUUGUUAAGGCCACUUUAGGAUAGCUGGAAUUACUUUAAUUUCCCUUUAAAGAAUGGGUCUUGUUUUUUUUCUUGAGGACAAGCAAAGGUUUAUGUUUGGGGGAGUUGAUAAGUUAGGAUUUUAACAUGUUUUAUGCCCCUACUUGCCUAUGCUUUGGUUAUAAAUUGCUACAAAAUAGUACAAAAAUGCUCACAAGUUGUGCUUGAUUGCAGGUUUGAUCGACAAAGUGUCGAAAUAUCAAAGAUUGGCUCAAUAGGAGUGAAACCUGCUCAAGUAUCAAAGAUUAGGUGAAAUGAGGAAAAGAGGGCCUAGUGCGCACCGUGCAAAAUUGAAUGCAGCCGCACUAGGAGAUUCAGAAAAUGUAUAAUUAGGCUUAUGGCUACGCGGCCAUGGUACGUUUCUUGCGGUCAGCGGUCAGCCUUCUGUGGCUGCACCGCUUUUGUGCGGUCUGCGGUCAAGAGAUUCAGGGGACCAUCAGUUGGCCAUGACAAUGCUAUGGGGUCCGCAGUCAUCACUGCACGGACCGCUCCAGAUCCCCUUCGCGGCCGUGGUGCACUUCUACGCAGCCCGUAUCCUCAAGUUCAGAGAAGCAGCAAUGUGAACUGCAAGAGCCAGUAAGGCCGCGGUCCUUUUUUGCAGCCCGCACUGACCUCACAGGGGUAUUUUUGUCAAGUUUUUCUAGCCUAGUAUAAAUAGAGCAUUUUACCAUUUUUAGGUCAGCUUUUGUACUCUAGAUUUAGCUGCGCUCGUGAGACUAUAUAUUGUAGCCAUUUUUGGCAUUUUUGCUUUUCAUUAACGAUAGAUUGUUGUUGUUUCUUCUUAUAAUCAAUUAAUAUGCUUAGUUCUUCAUCUAUAUCUUUAAUUUCUUUAUCUAAAAUGAGUAUCUAAACCCAUUAGCUAGGGUUGUGGUUCAACCCUAGUGUGGGUAAUUGAUGGGUGUUGCCAUCUAUGGUUAGAUUGACUAUGGGUAAUGGCUAUUUGGGUUGAUUUUAUGUUUUAGUUGAGAAUUGGUUGUUGCAAAUACUGAUUCAAGCUUUGUGGGUUUAACUCUUCUUGAGAAAGAGACUCUAUGACCGUAAAAUUGACCCACCAAGGAAUUGGGAUGGACGCAUGAGAAAUGAUAGUUCCAAUUAACGGGUUAAAUCUCAAGAGAGUAAUCACCCUACUUAAACCCUAGUUGCUUGGUCUAAUAUUCCUACUCAUUUGGUCUCAAGAGAGUCUAUUGGGUUAAAUUACUCUCUCCACCGAGAUGUGUAAGAGUGCGUGAAAUUGUAAAAUGGUUAUAGCAUAAGUCCCAAAUUUGUCAAUCGAAUCCUAGUAACUUCCACCCGUCAAUUAGUCACCUAGGUAGUUUCACGAUCCUAGUGCCUUUCUUCCCAUUAAAUACAAUUUACCAAUAUUAUCGUAGAAUAAUUUAGUGUUAAUCAUUAGUAUUUAUAAAAGUAGUUAUAAUUCAAAAACCCAAAGAUGUUUGAAGUGACAUUAGGAGUACAAACACAUCUCUAGACUAGACAGAAAUUCCAACUCCACUACUACCUCCCUGAGGAAAUCGAUCCCGACCUCUAUUCGGGUAAAAGCUAUUGCGACCCAUUCUUCCUAUUAUAGUGUAGCGUUGAGUUGGUAGCGAUCAGUGCGGCAUUAUUGGAAUCUCCCUAUGACUUAGCAAUGGCGAGGUAUAUUAGUGGGGCGACAAAGGCACCUAUGCGCCUGUCAGUUGGAGCGGCUAAGACUAUGGGGCCUUCCGUGGUGCUAAGUGCUGGGAGUCUUGCUAGGACGCUGUGGGCAUGGCCAAGGGAUCAUGGGGCAUGGAUAGAAAGCCGCCUAUGAAAUUCUCCCCUACCUAAGUUGGUGACGUCCUCGGUGCCUUACUUGUAAAAGAAUCUUCAAUGUGGAUCUUGUAGGAUAUGAGGUUUGUUCCCCUCUCCCAAGUAUUCUAUUCUGCAUAAAAAACCUACCAUUUCACCAAGAACUCUUGGUGAUCCUUCCUUGAGGCAUGAAUCACUAUGUCAUCAAGGAUAUCUUCAACAUGCUUUUUCCCGGUUGAAUUGGGACCUCGAAUACUGGAUAUUGUAAGCUGGCUCUUUGAAGGACCCUCCGGGUCUUCCCAAAAAGGUUUCAGGAGAUUGACAUGAAAGACUGGAUGAAUUUUCCACUAAGCUGGGGUGUCCACCCGUUGUAUAACUUUCAUAAUGUACCUUUCAAUGGACAAGGAUCCAAUGUAUUUUUGUAAUAGGCGAGGGUCAUGGACCCCCACAAAUAAGUACCGCUUUGGGAUUUUGACCAUCACUUUGUCUCCUACUUGAUAUUCAGCAAAGAGACGAUUCUGAUCAGCAUGUCUUUUCAUUCGCUUUUGAACUUUGACAAGAUAGAUCAACACUAUGUCUAGAUUCUGCUUACACUCUUUUGAGAAUCUAGCAGCUCGAGGAGACUUAGCCAUGUUUGGUGUAUUCACAAUGUGUGGGAGUAGCGGUUGCUAUUAGGUAACAAUUUAAAAAGCGCUUUUGUUUGUAAUAGAGCUCUUUUGUAAAUUGAAACACGAUUAUGCAACCUCCAAAAGUUUCACCCAAUUCUUUUGCGAUCUGGUUAGAAAGUGGCAGAGAUAUUCCUCCAACAUACCAUUGAACUGCUCUAUCUAGACAUCACAUUAUGAAUAAAAACUUAUGAUGUGACUCAAUUUGACCCCAUGCACUUAAAGAGUGGGGUCCAAAAGUUGCUAGUGAAGCGUGAGUCGCGAUCACUAAUAAUGUCUUUGGGCAUGCCCUAAUAUUUGACGACAUGAGAGAAGAAGAGUCGAGCUGUAUCUUCUGUUGACAUAUAUUGUAGGGAUGCAAUAAAGGUGGGAUACUUGGAAAACCCGUCCACCACAACCAGGAUAGUUGUGAGAUCUCCGACCUUGGGCAAUCCGGUAAUGAAAUCUAAGGAUACGCUUUCCCAAGGUCUUUUUGGGAUAGCUAGUGGUUCCAAGAGUCCCGCUUGUGUCAAGCGGUCUGACUUGUCCUUCCGGCAUACUAGACAAAUCUUCACAUACUUGGUGACAUCAUCGACCAUUUGAGGCCAAUAAUAGGCACGACGAAGUAACACCAUGGUGCGUUCUUCACCAAGAUGGCCGGCCCACACAGUAUCAUGACAUUUCGCUAGAAGAGUCUUCAGAAAACCGUCUUUCAUGUAGAUCUGGCGAUUCUUGACCUGUUCUACCAAAUCAACCAAAUACUGAGCAACAGGAUCCUUGGUGAGUAGAUCCUAUAUUUGGUCCUUGAUGGAGGUGGCUACUUCGCUCCCCUUUAGGGUGGCGAGUAAGCACACCGAUGCUAGAUCAACUCUCCAACUUAGUGCAUCAGCAACAUAAUUGGUCUUUCCACUGCGGUACUCUAGGUUGAAGUGGAAUUCUGCUAGGAGUUCCUGCCACCUGGCCUGUCGACCAUUCAACUUCGGCUGGGUCAUGAAAUGGCUGACAACCGUGUUGUCUGUCAUGAUUACAAACAGGGUUCCCAGCAGAUAGUGCCUCCAAAGGCGCAAGCAUUGGAUGACAGCCAAUAAUUCUUUAUCAUGGGUGGCAUAGCACCUCUUUGCAUCCUUCAGCUUCCAACUCUCGUAUGCUAUAGGGUACCCUUCUUGUGGCAUGAUUCCGGUGAGGCAUAGCCAGAUGCAUCCGUUUGUACCUCGAGUGGCUUUGCCAAAUCAAGAAGAGCCAAGACAGGGCUACUAGACAUAGCCACUUUUAAGGCGUUGAAGGCCACUGCUCUCCUUGGUCCCCAAUCCCAAGGUGUUACCUUCUUAAUGAGUUCUGUCAAUGGCACUGGCGAUAAGGGAGUAAUUCUUCACAAACCACUAGUAGAAGUUGCACAUGCCAAUGAAUUCCCUCAAGGCAUGGAAAUCCUUAGGCGGUGGCCAAUCUAUAAUGACUUGAAUCUUCUGUUGGUCCACCUUGAUGUGUCCUUCCUCAAUGACAUGUCCGAGGAAUUAAAUUUUCUUUUGAGCAAAAUAUCUGGAUAGAUUCGCAUAUAGUUCAUGCUCCCGCAAAUGAGCUAGGACCUUCCGCAAAUGCGCUAGGUGCUCUUCUAAUGUUUGGCCAUAUAUCAUAAUGUCAUCCAAGUAGACCACCUAUAAUUUGUCAAUGUACUCUCGGAAGACUUGGUUCAUCAAUGUGCAAAAUGUAGCUGGAGCAUUAGUGAAGCUGAACGGCAUGACCAGGAAGUCGUACGACCCAUAUCUUGAUACACAGGUUGUCUUGUACUCAUCACCCUCUACGAUCUAAACCUGCACGUGACCUGUCUUGAGGUAUAUCAUGGUGAACACCAUCCCACCACCUAGUCUAUCAAACAAGUCUACCAUUAAAGGAAUAAGGUACUUGUUCUUCACAGUGAUUUUGUUUAGAGCUCGAUAAUCCACACAGACUCGCAUGCUGCCAUCAUGUUUCUUUUGGAAUAGAACAGGUGACCCAUAUGGGGUAUUGGAGGGAAUAAUGAUCCGUGUAUCUAGAAUUUCCGUCAAUUUUCUCCGAAGCUCAAUGAGUUUGGGUUGUGAUAUUCUGUAAGGUGAUCGGGCAGGUGGCUUCGCGCCUCACACAAACUCAAUUUCAUGGUCCAUAGUGGCCCUAGGGGGGAGCCACUUUGGCAUGUCUUGUGGCAUGACAUCUUUUAACUCCAGUAGUAACUCCUUCACGGGUUUAGGAAUGGGACCCGAGGAGAGUUCUAUAUCCUCAAUGCAUAGGGUAUCCAGGAAUGUAGUUUCAUUCCUUUUGACCCCCUUUUUCAACUACAAGGCCGAGAUGUUUUCAAUGGCCAUCUUCAUGGGCAGGCACGGGAUAAUAUAAGGCUUAGCCCUAUUGGUUCCCAUCAUUAAUAGCAUGUCUACAAAUGGUACAUGUAUGGUGUUGGUUUUCCUUAGGAAUUCCAACCCAAAUAUCAGUUCAACGUCAUCUAUAAUCACAACUCACAGGUUGAAAUUUUCUUCAUAAGGGCCAAGCGUCACCGGUACUUGUUUAGCUAUUCCACCCAGUAGCUGGGGAGGUGAAUUGAUAGCCAUGACACUACCUCUACCUUUCUCUACAACUAGACCAAGGCGCUCCACAUGAGUCGAGGCUAAGUAGUUGUGGGUAGCCCCCAUGUCUAUCAUAGCACGAAUGGGCUUUCCAUUCACCUUCAUCUCAACAAAUAUUAAGGUCCUCUCUUAGCAUGAGCACGGAGAAUUCCCGCACGUAGUCCCUUACUGAUUUGGUCUAGUGGAGCUCCUGUAACAUUCUCCUUGCAUUGUAUUCAACAUUUUUAGGGAAGAACUAUAGGCGUAUGGCUGCCUUCAGUUCAGCCCAUGUCUCGAGAGCAUUUUCAUCGGCUCUGAUGGCUUUGUACUUCACCCGCCACCAGAGUUUAGCAUCACUCUAAAGAUACAUGGCAGCAGUUGCUACCUUCUUAGAUUCUUCUAGGACCCCAACAACAUCAAAAUAUUGUUCGACGUCAAAGAUGAAAUUUUCCACUUCCUUGGCAUUCGUAGAUCCACUGUAUGGCUUUGGCUCAGGAAUUUUCAGUUUUUGUGUCGUGGAAGUGGGGUUUGCAGUUCCUCCGAUUUGGUUUCCACUGCCUCGAAGUAGGCCCUGUAAAGCAAUAUUGACAAUAUUGAGCUUGUCUGUCAAGUCAUCAAUAGUUUGUUGCAUGGCAGUCACCCUAUCCGCCUCUUGUGCCCUUUAAGCCAAAUCCUCACACUCUCCUACUGGAGUCUUUCGAAAUUACAAAAGUUUUUGGCGGCCUCUAUGGCUUCCGCUUGCUGGUCUCCUUCAGAGUCAUGACUAAUGUUUUCUAUGUCAACUUUGUCCUGGAUCACCCUGCGGUCCAGGUCGUCCAACCUUUGCCCUAGGCUAGUCCUUAGUUCAGGCACCAUAUCCAUGAUGGGGCGUAAUCCGUCAACCGUUUGUCGAGGGCCAUAAUGCGGUCCCCAUGAUUCACCAUGGUCAAAAAUGGUGGUAAUGGCAAUGCGUUCCCUCGUCGGAUGUCGAGCCUAAGCUCUGAUACUAAUUGUUAUGCAACGCUUUCCUAAGAUUUCUGGGAAGGGCGACAUAAGGCUAAGCAACUGAUGUCAGUGCAGUCACUAUCCGCCAACUAAGGUCCUCUCCAUAUGCUAGACUAGUUUAUCAGUGCCGUAUGGGAAAAUCAAUGUCAAGAGCAAUUAAUAGAACAAAAAAGGGAAUUUAGAAUGAAAGAAAACUUGAUUGUAUUAAUGAAAGCUAUUACAGAAAAGGAAGGUGGUGUCAAGGGGGAGAGACACUUAUACAGAGAAUUGUUUCUUGCUAGAAAGUUUUGAUUGCUUGAUCCCAGCUAAUAAUACUUAAAUAAAUAAUCCAAAACUACAACACUAGACUUGAAUGCGCUAGAGAAACAUAAUAGAAGUACUUGAACUAAAACUACUCCAUUUACAAUGAAAAUCACAUUGCUUUCUAUGAGGCAGCAAAAGGUCUGUUGUCAGCACAUUGUCUUUGGCAUCACGGUCUGCUCAGGCGGUGCUGUUGGAAUCUGCCUGUAGUUUGGUGCUGGCAAAGGAUAUCGGUGGGGUAACAGAGGCACCUACGCGCUUGUCAGAGCACGCCCAUUGUGGCCCAUAAAAUGCAACUAAUCCGACAUGUUCACCGGUAAAAUAGAAGCUCAAAAAGUUUAAACCUUAUAUGAAUUUUAAAAUCAAGGAAGAAGUCACCAAGCAAGUCAAAGCAAAGGUUUUCAGGGUGGUAGAAUACCUGACAUAGUUAGCUAACAUUGUACUAGUACCAAAUAAAGACGGGAAGGUUAGGGUCUGUGUCGACUACCGGGAUCUCAACCGGGUUAGUUCGAAACAUGACUUCCCUUUACCAAACAUACACAUCCUAAUUGACAAUUGCACCAAGCAUGAGUUGCAAUUAAUUGUGGAUUGUUUCGCUGGAUAUCAUCAGAUUUGGAUGGAUGAAGAAGAUGCUGAGAAAAGGGCUUUCAUUACGCUUUGGGGAAUGUACUAUUACAAGAUGAUACUGUUUAGGUUAAAGAAUGUAUGGGCCACCUACAUGUGGGCCAUGAAUACCAUUUUUCAUGAUAUGAUACAUGAGCAGAUAGAGGUGUACGUAGAUGAUGUUAUAGACAAGUCCAAGAAGGCCGCUGAUCACAUAGAAUAUUUGAGGAAGUUUUUUAACAGAUUGCGGAGGAACAACUUGAAACUGAACGAAAAAGUGCUUAGGUUUAUUGCUAGUCAAUGAGGAAUAAAACUGGAUCCAUCAAAGGUCAAAACUAUUCAAGAAUUUCCACCGCCAAAGAGCAAAAAGGACGGAUGAGUUUCUUGGGGAGACUCAACUACAUCAGCUAGUUCAUAGCACAAUCUACAAUUAUCUAUGAGCUAAUCUUUAAAAUGCUAAAGAAGGACACUGCUAUCAGGUGGACUGAAGCAUGCCAGAAAGCUUCGACAGAAUUAAGAAAUACCUAUCAACACCACCAGUAUUAGUCCCGCCUGAUCCAGAUAAACCUUUGCUACUCUACAUUGCAGUGUUAGAUGGUGCCUUCGGUUGCGUCUUGGGGCAGCAAGAUGAAACGGGGAGGAAAGAGUAGGCCAUUUACUAUCUCAGAGAGAAGUUCACUCCGUAUGAAGACCAGUAUUCUCUGUUAGAAGACACAUGCUGUGCUAUGACUUGGGUGGCCCAGAAUCUAAGGCAUUACAUCAGUGCCUAUACUAUAUAUCUCAAAUCGAUGAUGGAUCUUCUAAAGUACAUCUUUCAGAAGUCCAUGCCCACCGGCAAGCUGGCCAAGUGGAAAAUCCUAUUGAGUGAAUUUGAUAUUAUCUAUGUGACUCAGAAGGCAAUCAAGGGACAAGCACUAGCAGAUCACGUUGUGGAAAAUCCCGUAGACUGAAAAUACAAAACCCUGAAAACGUAUUUUCCCGACGAUGAGGUAUCGUUCGUAGGAGAAAACAUUGCAAAAUCCUAUGAUGGGUGGAGAAUGUUUUUUGAUAGAGUAUCAAAUUUCAAAGGAAUUGGCGUAUGAGCACUCCUAAUAUCAGAAAUCGGUUAGCAUUAUCUGGUGUUUGCCAAACAUAGGUUCAUGUGCACACCGAAUAUGAAGCCUGCAUUAUAGGGCUCAGGAUGGCCAUUGACGUGAACAUAUAAGAGUUGCUAGUGAUUGGAGAUUUAGACUUACUCAUACAUCAGGUCAUAGAAAAAUGGGUAACCAAGAACUCCAAGAUACUCCCAAAUCUGCAUCGCGUACAAGAAUUGAGAAAGAGGUUCACAAAGAUAGAAUUCUGACGUUCCUAGAAUCCAGAAUGAAUUUGCCGAUGCGGUAGUUACCCCGUCAUCCAUGAUACAACAUCCAGACAAAAACUUCAUUGAUCUUAUUCCAGUAAAGAUCCACGAUCAGCCAACUUACUGUGCCCAUGUUAAAGAAGAGGCUGACGGAAAGCCUUGGUUUCAUGACAUCAAGGAAUAUUUAGCAAAGGGAGAGUACCCAGAACUUGCAAGUCCUAUUCAGAAGCACACACUUCGGAGGCUGUCCAAUAAUUUCUUCCACAACGGAGGAUUCCUAUAUAGGAGGACUUCUGAUUUGGGACUACUAAGGUGUGUUGACGCAAAGGAAGCGUCCAAACUGCUAGAAGAAACUUGUGGCCCACAUAUGGACGAUUUUGUCUUAGCGAAAAAGAUCCUCCGAACUGGUUAUUUUUGGGUGACUAUGGAGACAGAUUGCAUCCAGUAUGUCUGAAAAUGCCACCGCUGUCAGAUACUUGCAGACAUGAUAAAAGUACCUCAAAAUAAGCUUAAUACAACGAGCUUACCAUGGCUAUUCGUCGCUUGGGGAAUGGAUGUUAUUGGACCAAUCGAGCCUGCCACUUCAAAUUGGCACAGGUUUAUUCUAAUAGCCUUCACUAUUUCACCAAAUGGGUCGAAGCAGCAUCUUAUAGAGCUGUGACUAAGAAAGUCAUGGCAGACUUUGUCCGAGCCGCAUUAUUUGUCGAUUUGGUAUUCUAAAAUCAAUCAUUACUGAUAAUGGUUCCAACCUCAACAGUGACUUGAUGAAAGUUAUGUGUGAAACCUUUAAGAUCAGACACAAGAAUUCUACAGCCUACAGUCCUUAAAUGAACAGAGUAGUGAAAGCCGCUAACAAGAACAUCAAGAAGAUAUUGAGAAAGAUGAUUGAGAAGCAUAAGAAAUGGCACGAAAGCUAUCAUUUUCUCUGUUAGGAUAUUGCAUCACAGUUCGCACAACAAUUGGGGCGACCCUAUAUAUGCUGGUUUAUAGUACAGAAAAUGUCAUUCCUGUCGAAGUAGAGAUUCCUUCCUUAAGAAUCAUACAGGAAGCUGAGCUUGACGAUGCAGAAUGGGUGAAAAGUUUUUAUGAGCAUCUAGCUCUCAUAGAUGGGAAAAGAAUGAACGCAGUUUGUCAUGGUCAACUUUAUCAAAACAGAAUAUUUAAAGCCUUCAAAAAAGAGUCAAGCCAAGACAGUUCACACCAGGGCAGCUGGUGUUAAAGAAAAUUUUUCCGCAUCAAGAUGAAGCUAAAUGGAAGUUCUCUCCCAACUGGCAGGGUCCAUAUAUUGUUCAUCGACUUCUGACAGGAGGAGCCCUUAUACUUGUCGAAAUGGAUGGAGAAGUUUGGCUGAAGCCAAUUAAUUCAGAUGCAGUCAAGUGCUACUAUGUGUAAUUUCAUGCUUUCCCCAUAUGAUGUAUUCGAACUACGUCUGAACUGAUUCUCAUUUAAGAUGGGAUACGUAGGAAGCAUUAUGGGCUCGGUCACAAUUCAAUACAAUUUUCAUUUCCACCACAAUUGGAAACUAGGCCAGAAUUUUGAGGAGGACCCUCAAAAUUCCAAAGUAAUUUUAGCCAUUCAUCACAAGUAGUCGUCAGAAACUGGGACAGAACUUUGACGAGGACCCUCAAAAUUCCGUAACAAGAGAGGUUGCAAUGUCUUAAACCACGUCACAGUCAUCAGUUAAUCUAAAAGUUAUUUCCUAAAUAUAUGCUUAUGUCAUAUUUUUUACAAAUUCAUGCAUGUUUAUUAUCGAAAUCGCUUUGUUCAAGGAUGGUACCACCCAAGAUACAUAUCGUAUCACCGGAUCAAAGCUGAAUAGGUCAAGCAAGGCCAGCGCGGAUACGAACUAACCUCCCCUCUACCAAACUCAGGAUUUUUCUUUGGAUGCAGACACUUGGAUUGCGAAAGCAUCUAACAUACUAUACACUCACGAGACAAACAUUGUUCAGGAAUACAACUCUAAAAAUUGUCGCAUUUACUAGCAUUUGCUAUCCACGCACACCGACGAUACUCCCUAUAUUUCAAUGUCUCCAACAUUCAUAAUAUCACAACCUGCUAUCAGCUAAAAAAAAUCUAUUUGUCCUUUUAUUUUAUUUUUGUAUUACAUAAGGCUAACAUUCUGCCUUUCGAGACUAAACGCUAUCUCCAUCUGCAUAUUUUUACAUUGCAUAAGGCUACCAUUCUGCCUUCCGAGACUAAACACUACCUCUAUCUGCAUUAUUUCUGCAUUGCAUAAGGCUACCAUUCUGCCUUCCAAGACUAAACAAUGUCUCCAUCUGCAUUUUUCUACAUUGCGUAAGGCUACCAUUCUACCUUCCGAGACUAAACACUCUCUCCAUCUGCAUUUUUUCUGCAUUGCAUAAGGCUAUCAUUCUGCCUUUCGAGACUAUGCUUUGUCUUCAUAUGCAUUUUUUCUGCAUUGCAUAAGGCUACCAUACUGCCUUCCGAGACUAAACACUAUCUCCAUCUGCAUUUUUCUGUAUUGUAUAAGACUACCAUUCUGCCUUCCAAGACUAAACAUUGUCACCAUCUACAUCUGCAUGGCUGAAAGAUCGCCACUUUAUUUACGCUUGUACGGCUGAAAGAUCGCCACUUUAUUUACGCUUGUAUGGCUGAAAGAUCUCCACUUUAUUUACGCUUUCAUGGUUUGAAGAUCGCCACCUCAUUUACGCUUGCAUGGCUCAAAGAUCGCCACCUCAUUUACAUUUGUACGAAUGAAAGAUCACAAUUUUAUUUACGUUGUAUGGCUGAAAGAUCGCCAAUUUAUUUAUGUUUGCAUGGCUAGAAUAUUGCCACCUCAUUUAUCUUUGCAUGGUUGAACGAUCGCUACCUCAUUUACAUUUGCAUGGCUGAAUGUUCGCAACCUUAUUUACAUUUGCAUGGACGAAAGAUCGCCACAUAUUACAUCUCAUGGGCUAAAAGAUCACCACCUAUUGCAUUUCAUGGGAUUAAAGAUCACCAAAUACUGCAUCAUAGGCGCUGAAAGAUCGCCAAAUUAUUUGAGGGCGUCAUCGUUCGGAGGCACCAUUUGCAUAGCCUGAGAACACCAUAACAUGACCUGAGGAUCUCUUUAAUCUUUUGUAUAUCAUUAUUCAAAGGAAUCAAGGUUUGGAGGCAUAAUUAUCAUAGCCCGAGAGCAUCGGUUCAUGGCCUACGAAUACUUACUAUUAUACGCUUCAUGGUGCGAGCAUGUGAUUUUUGCCUUAUACAAAUUACUCCCAUAAAUUCAAAAUAAAGUAAUUUUGUUUGUUUACUUGCAGUUUUGAUUUCUCAUGGCAUUAUUCUAUUAAUUGCUUGCAUUUCACUGCAUUUCUGAAUAAAAAAAAUACAAAAUACAUGAGGCAUGUGCAGUUAGAAGUAAUUUUACUUUUUAGACAUUAAUUAGUAAUCGGAAAGCGAAAUUCAAAAAUGGCUUAAUGCGUAUCUAAGAUUUAUUUUAAGUAAUUUUGUCCAUCUUUUACUUGUUAAUAAUCAUGGGUCAAUUAAGUUUUAUAGAGUUAUUAAGAUUUUAUUUUAGGAAUUCAAUAAAAUCAAGAAAUGAUUAAAAAAGAACACCUGAAAAUACAACUCCUCUUUGGGGCCAUUUGUAAUUGAAACCCAGGCCCAAAAUACCCAGUCCGUUUGUCCCAAACCCAGUCCAGCUCAAGGAAUGCCAAAACGACAUCGUUUGUUCGCCUCUCAUCUAGGCCGUUCAUCACCCAUCAUCCAUCGGACCCAAAAAUACCCCCCAAACGAAGAAAAAAUGUCCAAACAAGUGUAACAAAACCAGAGACCACGGCUCCCUCCUCGUACAGUUCCUCACCGGUGUAACGCCGCCCAUGAUCCACCCUAACUCCACUGUCCGCCGUGAGCCAGAAAUUGCCGCCGCAGGCAGCGUAACCCCAAUGCCUCCCAAAAUUACACCAUAGAAGCAUCCCAUUCUCCUCUUCCUAUUCCCAUGAAAAUCAUCCCUUGAAUAACCGAUGAUGUUUAUGAUUAUCCGCUCAAAAUACGGCGGCUCCGCCGUCUACGGUGGCGGUCGGCGGCAAACCACUCUCAAAUCAACACCAAUAACUCUCACCACCCUCACCCCAGCCUUGCCAGUGGUUGCUCUCAAAUAUAGCCACAACGCGUCGAAUAUUCGCCUAAAGAUGGCAGCUCUGCCAUGCACGAUGGUGGCUUCCACCCUAUGCCGUCAAACACCUCCCAAUCGACACCCCCAUAACCCCAUUGGCCUCCCCAAUGUCCAAUACGUCAUUGGACCCCUUCAAACCAACCCAGAACUACGCAUUUCCUGAAUCUAGGGUUCAUGAAGCCCAAUCUUGAACGGAUUUUUUGAGGUUCUGUCUUGAGUUGUGAUUAAUUCCAUUCUAGGCAUUCUCAAACAGGUAACCCUUUUUUUAUUUUAUUAUUGUUCUCCUCCUUGUCUUCUUUUCUUUUGAUUCAGAUGACAAGUCUCAAAUUAGAAUUUUGUUCAUCUUGAAUCAGUUGUAUAUGUCUUACUAUAUAGGCGUUUGUUUCAAGUUAAUUAGCUUAGGUCCGGAAUUGUGUGAUUAUUGUUUAGUUGCAACAAAUAUGUGAUUAAGUCCCCAUUGUAGGAUUAGCUUAGAUGACACUGAAAAUGUUACUUGUGCUAUCCAUGAUUAUGUUCGUUAAAUUGCUUGUCUUGUUCCAAUUAAGUCAUGAUAGCAUAAUGGUUAAUACUAACUCAAGAUUCCCAUCUCUUUGUUUGUUAGCUUUCAUUUAUAUGUUUAGUUUGGAUCAGUAGUAAACCCUGUAACCUUAAGGUUCAAACUGAUUAAACUCUGCAUAUUUAACUCGAGCAUAAUAUUGUAAUGGGAUUGAAGUAAUGUCGUGAUGGUGUAGUGGGUUUGAGUUGAUGACUUUUGUGUUUAUUAUGAUUGUUUUGAGUCUUGUAAAGAGUCUGGUCCUGAUUGGAAACAACAGCCUCAUUUAUGCGGGUUGAUUCAGGGUUUUAUGACCCAAUUAGUUUAGCCAAUUGGCCCAUGGAGGUCAGGGUAAAAACAGGGGUCCCGGGAGGGUAAUUUGGGUGUUUCGGUUUUGGGAAUCUUUGGUAGUUAAUUUAAGAAGCUUCCAGUAGGGGUCUAUUAGAAAACAUUUUAGCUGUGACUUGUCUAGCAAGAACAUCAAGGACUUAAAGGAAAAAAAGACAAAUCUGAAGUUGCCCUAUGGCUUUACCUAUAAAGGCAACAAUUUCUUCAAUGAUAGGGGGCUGGGAAAUAAUUUUAGAAAAUAUAUACAUACUGCUUAAAAUUUUACUGUUACAUUGGAUCUAUCAUUAACCUUCUAAAGAGCUUCCCAUUCUGAAAAAUUUGGAGCUGUUUGGAAUUCUUUGAUUUGAGUUUGGUUAUAUGAUGAUUUGAAGUCAUUUUUUGGACUCCUUUUACUUCAUUUCAUCGGUUAAAAAUUAUCUUGUCAUUUAUCUUCAAUUGCCUGGGAUCUGGGAUUAUUUGGAGUGUUGUUGUUAUUCUGCUACAUAUUUGCUGAACCUCCAUCCUCAUUUUCUCUAUAUUUUCCAGGUAUAUUUUGGCCCCAUGGAUCUCAUACGAAUGUAAUAUGAAGCUGUGACUCUGGAAUGCAAGUAUUUAAUGAUUAAUAUUUCCUCCCCUUGUCUCAUUUAGCUGAUAAAUUUUAUUUAGUGUAUAGCUGGACACCUCAUUUACAUGAUGUUUAAUUAGGAAUCCCUUUGUCUUAGUUAUUCCUACAAUCGACCUUUGUAAUGUAAUAAAUGGAUUCCCAAUCUUGUAUUUAGGCCUAAUGUGAAUUCUGAAGUGUUCAUGAGUUGCAGGUUAGCCUGUAACUGUGAUGCAUCCCAAGCAAAAGUUUGCAUGUUAGUUUAUUAGUAUAUCAGUGGGGUGAUAGUGUAUUUAGUCUUUAACGUAGUCUUCAUGUUCAUACAAUUCAUGUGUGUUCGUAGCUGACUCAAAUGACUCCGUCUGAAUUAGUGUUAUUAUUUAAUGAAUGUAAGCCUAUUUAUAAUUUCAAUUAACGGUUGGAUAAAUUUGAGGAAUUUUUUGGAUUGUUCAAAUGCCUUACAUGAUACCUGUUAGUAAUCUUCAUUGCAUCCACGAGUUCAAUUAUAUGUGCAAGCUAAGCCGGUUUGGGCUGAUUGGGCCACUUGGCCCACCAACUUCAAUAAUUUAUAUAUAUGUAUGGCCCCUGAGAUUCAGCUUGAAUUUAUGGCGCAAAGUACAGUAUUGAAUAAGGGCCCUCCUCUUUAGAGGUUAAGUGAAAGGGCUGCCCAAGGAUGGGGUUGUCAUGAUGGGCUCUAUUGCGGCCCAUCUGAUAAAUGAACCUAUGCCAGUCGAAUGUGGUGUUGACCAGAAACCCUCUAGUUAAUUUUAGGAUCAAAUAGUUUCAGCAUCAAAUAUUCCAUGGGUCAUCUCUUGUAAGACGCUGAAUUUAGCACACUUAGAAUUUGAGACAAGUCGUUUAGAAAAUAUUCACGGCCUCUCACGAAGAUAAUAACAUGCUAUUCAUCUUAGGAAGCAUAUUUAAUAAUUCAUCAUUCCUAAAUACGGGUGCACAUUUAUGUGACCUAAAUCCAAAUCUCAACAAAGUUGAAAUAUGUUAAGAUCCUCAGGGGCAUUUAUGUGGUGGUUCGAGGCAUAUUUUAACAAUGUUGCAAUUCUCUUUUAGAAUAAUGAUAAAAGUGGAUAAAGGAUUAAAAUGCACAUAGGUUCACAAUUGUUUAAAAUCAGAUAAUUUACGCCACAUAUAAUAGUUGGGCGACCGUGCUAGAACCACGGAACCCGGGAAUGCCUAACACCUUCUCCCGGGUUAACAUAAUUCCUUACUCGGAUUUCUGGUUCGGGGACUGGUAAAUGAAGUCAUUCUUUUCUCGAUUCGAGAUUCUAAACAGUGACUUGGGGCACCAUAAAUCAUCACAAGUGGUGAAUCUAAUUUUUUUAAUAAAUAAAUCUCGUUUAGAUUCCCCUUUAAUUGGAAAACCUCCAUUUACGCCCUUCGCCGGGUUGUAGUAGCCAAAAAGGAGGCAUGACACAUGGCCCAGGACAUCAUAGUCUAAAACGUCAUCCUAACCGUCCAAAGACAAUAUUUAUGGUCUGAUGGGAAUAUACAUCACGUUUAAAUUUUACGUACAAUACAUACGUGUUUGCAGGUAAGCCGACGAUCAAUGGGCAUCUUGGUAGGAGCGAUCCCGCUCUAUUUCCCGUAGCCUUAUCAGACCUUAACCAUUCACUCCAUCCUAAAUAUAGUGCCCGUUCUUGAGAAGUCUCUAUCGACAUAUUCAGCCAAUGGAUCCUGAAUAAUAAAUGGCCUAAUUCCUGUAAAAUAAGGGAUAUGUAGGCAGCUCAGAAGCCAGAGAACGACCUAACCUCUUCAAACCACUUCAACAACAACAAAAACUACCCAGUAAAAUCCCACAUAGUGGGGUCUGGGGAGGAUAAUGUAUACUCAAAACUUACCCAUGCCCCAAUAGGGUAGAGAGACUGUUUUCGAUAGACCCUUGGCUUAGAAGGACGAAAAUAAAACAAAAAACAAGAAAAGAGAAUUCAAUUAGUAACUCCAAAAGAAACCGUAGUAGUAACAGAAGCAUAAAAACCAAAAUAUGAAUAACAUGAAAUAGCAGUAACUAGAAUCUAAGGCCCAAGACUAUGAUAAACUACAAGACAUCUAAGAUCAACCCUAAUCAAACCCCGCCUUACCCCCGGUAUAAAGUAAGGAAAGCUUUACUACUAUCCUACAACCCUAAUGCUUGAGCUCCAAACCUUCCUAUCAAGGACCAUGUCCUUGAAAAUCUACAAUCGUACCAUGUCCUGCAUGAUCAUCUCUCCCUAAUACUUGUUAGUUCUCCAUCUACCUCUACUCGUACCUACCAUCGCCAACUGCUCACACCUCCUUACCGGUCCAUCAGGGCUUCUUCUCUGCACGUGCGCGAACCAUAUGAGCAUCGAUUCCCGCAUCUCGUCAUCCACAGGGGCGACACCGACCUUCUUCAGAAUAUUUUCAUUCCUAAUCUUGUCUAUCCUAGUGUGCCUGCACAUCUACCUCAGUAUCCGCAUCUGUGCCGCUUUCAUCCUCUGAAUAUGGGAGUUAUUAACAGGCCAACACUCUACCCCAUACAAUAUGGCUGGUCUAGCCACUACUCUAUAAAACUUAUCUUUGAGUAUCGGUGGCACUUUCUUAUCACUCAGAACAUUAGAUGUAAGCCACUAUUUCAUCCAAUCCACCCUUAUGAGGCGAGUGACGUCCUCAUCAAUCUCUCCAUCCCCUUGAAUCAUCGACCCAAGGUACUUGAAGCUAUCUCUCUUGGAGAUGACCUGUGACCCAAGCCUGAAGUCCCCGCCUACUUCCCUCGACUCAGCGUUAAACUUGCACUCCAGUUACUCUGUCUUAGAUCUGCUCAAUUCGAAACCCUUAGACUCAAGAGUCUAUCUUCAAACCUCCAAUAUCUCAUUAACACAUGCCCUCGUCUAAUCAAUUAUAACUAUGUCAUCAGCAAAUAACAUACACCAUGGUAUCUUCCCUUAAAUAUGGUGUGUCAAAGCAUCCAUCACCAAGGCAAAUAAGAAUGGUCUAAGCGCAAAGCCUUGGUGUAAUCCCAUAACAACUGAGAAAUCCUCCGAGUAGCCUCCCCCAGUCAAAACAUUAGUCUUAGCUCCAUCAUACAUGUCCUUGAUCGCUCGUAUGUAGGCUACCGGCAUGCCCUUCACCUCAAGAAAUCUCCAGAGCACCUCCCUAGGAACCUUAUCAUACGCUUUCUCCAAGUCAAUAAACACCAUUUGCAUAUCAUUCUUCUUAUCCCUACACUGUUCCACCAACCUCCUAAUAAGGUGGAUAACCUCCAUAGUGGAGCAGCCUGGUAUGAACCUAAACUGAUUGUCGGAUAUAGACAUCGUCUUCCUUACUCUCACCCUCACAACUCUCUUCCAUACUUUCAUAGUAUGCUAAGUAACUUAAUACCCCUAUAAUUUUUACAACACUGUACCACUGAACUCGACCUCCAUUCCUCCGGUAUCCUUUUCGUCCUAAAAAUUAUAUUGAACAACCUAGUCAGCCAUUCCGUUCUUCUUCUACCUACACCCUUCCAAAACUCAACCGGAAUUUCAUCUGACUCGGUCAUUCUACCCCUACUCAUCUUACGCAAAGCCCCCACGACCUCCUCCACCUUAAUGCGCCUGCAAUAUCUAAAAUCUCAGAGACUCUCUGAAUUCCCCAAGUUCCCUAGCGCUAUAUCCCGGUCCCCCUCCUCAUUUAGAAGACCAUGAAAGUACGUCUGCCAUCUGUGCUUAAUCUGGGACACUCCGGCCAGUACUCUACCAUCCUCAUCUUUGAUGCACCUGCCAUCUCUGCUUAAUUUGGGACUCUCCCAUAAAUACUCUACCAUCCUCGUCUUUGAUGCACCUUACUUUGUCCUGAUCCCGAGCCUUUCUCUCCCUCGCUUUAGCCAACCGAAAAGACUUCCUUUCCCCACCUUUCUACCCUAAUGCCUUGUAUAGAUGUCUAAACGCUGCAUUCUUAGCCUAUGACCGACAGCUUUGCCUCCUUCCUAGCCACUUUGUACCUCUCUCUAUUCGCACUCCUCUCCUACUUGCUUGUGCUCCCUGCUAACUUCGCGUACGCUGCCUUCUUGGCCUCCACUUUACCUUGUACUAUGUCAUUCCACCACCAGUCUCAAAACCCUUCGAUACACCUAUCACCUCUCUCGCCGAGAGUUAUGGCAAUUGUUAGCAGGGAGAAAAAUUGUCCAUCAUAUCUCUACCCGACAACUCUUUCAUCCUUCUCGGUUAAAGAGGGAUAGAUGUUGAUAUCCAAUUUUUUCCUGUAUAUUUUAAUAUGCAAAAUUCUUUCAAAAUAGCAUGUAUACGCAUAUAUAAGUAUGUCCCUAGGUCUUAUUAUUUUCUCUUAAUUUAUAAAUAUUUUUAAAUCAAUUUAUUUGCCCUAUUUUAUCAAGGAAAACCCCAAUAAUUAUCCCCAUAAUCAUCAUUUUGGAUGAUUCAUUUAUUGUAUCCUCAUAUUUACAUUAAAAUAUAGCUAAAAUAAUAUUUGCAUAUUUUAAUAAAUCUAUUUAGUAUUUUAAAAGCUAAAUUGCAUAUAAUUGCAAUAUUAGCCUCAUUUAACGUUUAAUAGUGUUUAUAAUUAUAAAAAUGACUCCAUGUAUUAUUAAUCAUUUAAGUACCAUUAAUUUACUUCUAAAAAUUUCUUUACUAUUUUUAUUAAAUAAAUAAGGAAAAUGGCUAUUUAAAUGUUACCCAUUUGCAUUUCAAUUUUAGCCAGAUUUGACACCCCAAUUAAACCCAAUUUCAAAUCCAAUUACCCAACCCAAAUCCUAAAUCUAUCCCACCCACAACCCAUUUAAAAUAACCCGCCUUGACCCCCUUUUAAUCCCAGUCGUUGAUCACUUAGAUCAACGACUCAUAAUUGUCCCUUCCAUUUUUAACCCCCAACCCCUAAACCUAAUAAUUAACCAUUAAUAGUCACCAUUGAAUUUCCCAUUCUCCUAGUUCUCUCUCAAGCUCCUCUCAAACCCUAGCCGCCUCCCUCCGCCUCCACCCUAAAAUCACCGGAGUCUAUGGCUUCCAAGGCCAUUGAAGUCCUAUAUCGGCCUUCUAUAACUCCUAUACACCUGGUUGUCAUAGGUUCAAGGCCUGACCAUGAAGAAGCUUGGCCCAUAUUUUGUUUCAUUCAAGUUCUAUGGUUGUCUCCUACCUUGCUCCGGCCAGCCAUGGCUGCUCAAGCCUGAGCUUGACUUCUCCUACUAAAAUCAAUGACCUUUCAAGCCUUUCUCACCAUCUAGGUUCUACUGGAACCCUAACUUUUGAGGUUCUUCAUAUUUUUUUAGAUUUACUCUGGAUCCGUGCUUUCCCUAAACUUUCAAACGUUUUCUCAAAGUUUCUUUCAAAACUCUUCUUUCAAAACAUUUAUGGUUAGCGAUUUAAGGUUUUGUCAAGUUAUUUAGAAGUUUCUCAGAUAUUUAUCGUGUUCUACUAUGCUUCUUAUAUUGUUCUUCUACUGUGUUUCUUAUAUUGAAUCUUUUAGUUUGUUUUUUAUGUUAAAGCCUUAAGUUUUUUCUUAGGAUUUUUUAUUUUACUUUCUUUAUUGAUAUUUUGCCUGAUUCUCUUGUCUUUGAUCUCUACACUCGAUUGAUGGCAAAAACCCUAAGUUUUGGGGUUUAUUCGAGUUUUGAUAUUAUUUUCUAUGUGAUUUAUUUGUUCCUCAUCUCCGAACUUGUUUGGGUUCAAAACCCUAAUUUUUUGGACCUAUUUGAAUUUCUGAUGUUGUCUCAUCUAUUACUCGACUGAAUUUCAAAAUCUUUUAUUUCUUUAUAUGAUCUGAAUCCCUGCUAAACGCUUUUAAGGUCUUUCUACUGGACCCUUUGCAUGCUAUUUGAUACUCUUUCUCUUCUUCAUUGCUGAGUUAUUGAAACAGAACUAUGGGACUACCAUGUUCCUAUAAUCCACUAGUUACUGAUAUUGUAAUUGCAUGACACUUUUCUUUGUCUUAAAUUUAAUCCCACAUGCAUAAUACUUGUGUGCUCUUUAUAUAUGUUGAGCUUCCUCUCUCAAAUGACUUUUAAUUUUUGACUAAUUUCAAACCUCCUUGUGUAAGUAUGAUUGAUUCAUUCCUUGUUUUACUUAUUUCCCUGAUUCUUUGGUUGAUUUGAGAACUUUCCCUUAGCCUUUCGAUUCUCCUACUUCAGAUUUGGUUUAUUUAUAACUUCAAAUCCCUGACUAUUUGAUUUACUAUAUGCUGAUUGAUUAAUUGUGUUUCUUACCUUAUUUGGUUAACCGGUGUAUUUCAAAUAUUCUUCAUCAAUUCUUCCCUUAAUUAAACUCCUAUGUAUUUACCCCCAAUUGUCUACUUUUGAGAAGAUGUUUAAUUGAUCUCCUUCAUUAAAUAAUUUCUGCCCAUUACCAUUUGGUUGCAACUCCUUGAUUAAGGGAAUUCUUUGAUAUUGAUUCAUUUUUAAUUCAUACACAGUUCCAUAAUUAGUUUCUUGCCUUAUUUUCUACUUGUUUUCAUACUAUAAGUACCUGGCUUUUUCAUUGACACAAACAUACGAACACUCUUAGUUUUCUAAACUCAUUCUCAAAUUAAAAAGCAUCCUCUGUUGUUACUUGUACUGGGGCCUGUUUUCUAAGUCCUACUACUGCUUUUAUUGUAUUUCGCUUCCUUAAAACUGGUAUGUCCUGAUUAAGAUUUUCAGCAAUCACAAACAAUGUGUUUACUUAAUACCUUUACUUGCAUGUCUACAUAUUGCUUGUGUUUAGUUUAGUGCUUACUUUAGCAUACUAUAAUUUCCUCCUAUUAUGAAUCCUUAACCCCCAUACACCAAUGUAUUUGAUGCCAAUGGUUUGUUUGAGACAUGACAGUAUUGAGUAUUAUUGUUUAUGGCUCAAAUUUGAUUCCCUUGGAAUCAUAACCUAUAUGUCACCAUUAUAUAUUGUGUAUUCUUGUUGAUUCUGUAAGCACAACAGCAUUCUCUAUUGUUGUGCAUGCCCAGAAUUGGCUAAUGCCUAAAUACAUAGGCUCUUUGUCAAUUUUCCCUAUCCCUGAACCCUUUGUUUGAUUUGUUUAUGGCUAUUUCCCAGCACUUCUCCCAAUUUCUUUACUUUCUUAGUUCCUUAAAAUUCUGUUUCUACAGUUGCACUCUCUUUUAGACUUUAAGUUCUGCCCUACUCUUCUGAGCCUUGCCUUUGGACCUAUUUAGCUCACUCUGAACUUGGACACUUGAUGGCUGGCCCUUCCACACUGCACAUGUCUCUAUUUCGGUAAUACAAUUUGGGUGUGAGCAGCGUUCGGAGUCCCAUCGAGGCUCUUUGGGAACUCUGACACACUUAAAUUGGAGAAAGGUUUUGGAUCAGUGAUCUUGCAGUUGGUCUAUCUCAUCAUUCAGACAGGAAGUCAGAAUCAGGCUUCCUCUAGUUUUAUUUUAUUUUAUACUUUUGAUGUAAUUUAUUAUUUUUGGUUUGUAAUAAGUUGUAAUGAACAUUCGGGGCUGGCUAGUGAAAUGGGUGGGUGACUAGGCAUGCGAAAUGGUAGAAAUCAUGCCUAUAGGUUUUUACAAUGUUGCAUAUAUAGAAAUCAUGUUUAUAUGUUUUAAAUAAAUUCUGCAUUUUUAGAUACCAUGCCAAUAGGUGUAUUAGAAUUCUGCAUAUUCAAAUACCUAUAGAAGUCAUGCCUAUAGGCUCGUUCCAAUUCUGCUUAUAUAGAAAUCAUGUUCAUAUGUUUUAAAACAAAUUCCGAAUUUUUAGAUACCAUGCCUAUAGGUUUAAAACGAUUCUGCAUUAGAUACCAUGCCUGUAGGUUUGGUAACACUAUUGUGUACAAAGAUGUUACAUUUAAAAUCAGCAAUAUAUAGAAAACAUGCCUAUAAGAUUUUCUAAAUGAAUUUGUUUCGUUUCACUCAGCAUUAGAUAUAAAACCAGUAAUAAUAGAUACUGACAGUUGCAAAAUUUGUAAUCAAUUCAUUAAAUUCAGCCCGUCUUUAAUAAUCUGAGUCCAUUGCUUAACCAAAGUUUAGCUAGCAUGCCUAUGUUGUUUUUAAAUGAUUCAUCUUGAGUUUUAAUGUCUUAUUACCUUCCAAAUUCAGUAAAAAUCAUGCCUAUAGGACCACAUCUUAACACUUAGGCAAGCAUUAAGAUAUUAACUAUUACAGACAGCAGGCAGGCCUGAUUCGGGCUUCUUAUCUUAAUUAUAUAAUAAACCAUGUCUGCCUCAAUUUUUAAACUCUCUCACAUUUUGUAUUUGGCCAGACCUAAAUAGUAUGUGAAAGUCAUGCUAAUUAUGUGUUUUUCUAUUCAAGGAGGUAUAAUUGAGCCUUUGUUGUUUAUAUGAUUCUCCCUAAAAAUGUGCAAUUUGUGUUUUUGUUUGACGCCUUAGAGCUUUUACCUUUUGAAACCUCAAACAAAAAUGACAUCCCCCCUUUAGGAUUAAUAGUCCUAAGUGCUAGGAGUGGGACGGGUAAAAGCAUGCAACAAGUAAUCUAGACCAACCCGCGCUUUAGUACCUUGAUGGGGUGGGAAGGGUAGAUAUGGAUAUGAUGACCAUGCAAUAAUUUCAUGUGUAGCCCCUAUUUGAGGGGUGAUUACCGGGGGUGAUCCAUAUUUUUAAUAAACCUAGGACCCCCUUUCCUUUAUUCUUUACUUCUUUUCAACAUUUUUAAGCAGCUUUUUUUAAAAAAAUUGCUAUUUUUCAAUUCUUGUUUACUUCCAAACCAUCAUGUGUUGAAAUACCCUCUUAUUUGAGACUUAUUUGUUUAUAUGUAAGUACAAAAAAUUCACAAUAAUUUUCUGGCCGAGAACCACACUAAUGAAUUCUGAGGGGUGCCUAACACCUUCCCUUAGAAUAAUUGUAAGCCCUUACCCAAUCUCUAGUUAUUCAAAUCAAACCCUUAUGGUGUCCUAAUGAACCCUAAUCAUUAGGUGGUGACUCUUCAAGUGCAAGUCUAGUUCCCAAAAGGAACGCGUUGUCCCUCCAAAUGCCAUAAACCCGAUUUCGCGAGAAAAAGGGGGUGCAAUAGGUUCACCUCGAUAGACUUCUCAGCCACAUCAUGCUCCACAUAUUCCUCAGGAUAUGAUUACAGCACCAGUUGCCACCCCAAUUGUUCAGCCAGUUCGAGGUCGAGGUCACGGAGGUAAAGGUGUGCUAGAGGGGGAGGCUAGGCCAGAUACUAUGCCCCUCCUGCUCGUACAAAGGCUGUUGAUUCUGAUUGUGUCAUGACAUGUAUUAUUCUGAUCUAUCAUAGAAAUAUAUUGUUUCUAUUCAAUCUAGGCUCUACUUAUUCUUAUGUGUCAUCUUUACCCUGCAUUUGGGCAUAUCUUGGGAUUCCUUGAGUUCUCCAUCUUAUAUGUAUACUCAUGUGGGAGAUUCUCUAGUUGUGGACUGCGUGUAUCGGGUUGUGUUUGAUUACUCUUAAGGGUUUUGAGACCAGCACCGAUCUAUUAUUGCUCAGCAUGGUAGAUUUUGAUGUUAUCUUGGGCAUGGACUAUUUAUUGCCCUAUUAUGCUAUUCAUAAUUGUCACGCCAAAACCGUGAUGCUAUCUAUGCCAGGUCUACCGCAAUUAGAGUGGAGGGGUGCCAAUGGUUACACUCUCAGCCAGGUUAUUUCAUUUAUUAAAGCUCAAUGAAUUGUUGAUGAGUGUAACGCGUUUCUAGCCUACAUGAGAUAUGUCAGUAUUGAUACCCCUACAGUUGAGUCAGUCCUAGUAAUAAAAAAUUUCCCUGAUGUAUUUCCAGCUGAUCUUCUGGCACGCCACCCGAUAGAGAUAUCGACUUUGGUUUUGAUUUGUUUCUGGGCACUCAACCCAUCUCUAUUCCUCCUUAUCGUAUGGCCCCUUCUGAGUUGAAGAAUUUGAAGCAAUGGUUACAAGAUUCAUUCGGCCCAAUGUGUCACCUUGGGGUGCUCCUAUAUAUUUUUUGUGAAGAAAAAUGAUGGUUCUAUGCAUAUGUGCAUUGAUUAUCGUCAGUUGAACAAAGUUAAAAUGAAGAACUGGUAUCCUUUGCCUCGUAUUGAUCACAUAUUUGAUCAGUUACAUGGUGAUCGAGUGUUUUCCAAAAUUGACUUACAUUUAGGUGAUCAUCAGUGGAAGAUUUGGGAGCCAGAUAUCUCGAAGACUGCUUAUAGGACUUGGUAUGGUCAUUACGAGUUCCUUGUGAUGUCAUUUGGGUUGACCAAUACCCCGGUAAUAUUUAUGCAUUUGAUGCAUAGUGUAUUUCAGUCCUAUCUUGACUCAUUCGUCAUUGUCUUUAUUGAUGACAUUCUGGUGUACUCCCGAAGCCAGGAAGAUGAUAAACAUCACCUGAGGACUGUGCUUCAGACCUUGAGAGAGAAGAAAUUGUAUGAAAAGUUCUCAAAAAGUUAGUUUAGGUUGGAUUUCGUGGAAUUUUUGGGUCUGAAGAAAGUGGAAGCGGUGCAGAGUUGGCAUAGAACAUCCUAAGCUAUAGAGAUAUGAGUUUUCUUGGUUUGACGGGGUAUUAUUGUUGAUUUUUUGAGGGAUUCUCAUCUAUUGCAGCACCUAUAACCAGGCUGACCCAGAAGGGUGCUCCAUUCAGGUGAACAGAUGAGAGAGGAGAGCUUUCAAAAGCUCAAGACAGCUUUGACUACAACUAAUGUAUUGGUAUUGCCUACAGGUUUGGUGUCUUAUAUUGUUUAUUGUGAUGCAUCACGAGUUGGUCUCGACACGAUGUUGAUGCAGGACAGUAGGGUGAUUGCCUACACGUCUUGACAUCUGAAGGUGCAUGAAAAGAACUAUCAUGUCUACAACCUUGAGUUAGCAGCUAUUGUUCAUGCUUUGAUGAUUUGGAGGGGUUAUUUGUAUGGUGUCUCUUGUGAGAUUUAUACUGAUCAUCAGAGUUUGCAACAUUUGUUCAAACAGAAGGAUCUUAACCUGCACCAGCGAAGGUGGUUAGAACUGUUUAAAAAUUAUGAUAUUACCAUUUUGUUCCACCCUGGGAAGGUUAAUAUGGUGCCCAAUACUUUGAGUCACCGAGCUUAGAGUUUGGGGAGCUUAGCAUUUCUACCGGUAGCACAGAGGCCCAUGGCGUUGGAUGUUCAGGCCUUAGCUAGCCAAUUUAUGAGAUUGGAUAUCCUGAGCCGAGUCGAGUAUCGGCUGAUGUGGUCUUCUGGUCUUCUCUUUGUGAUCGUAUCAGGGAGCAGCAUGAUGGCCCUCAUCUUCUUGUCCUUAAAGACAUGGUCCAACACGAAGAUGCUAAGGAGGUUAAUAUCAGGGAUGAUGGAGCAUUGAGAAUGCAGAUGGUUUGCAUUAGUUUAUUCUUUAGGAGGCUCACAGCUCGCGAUAAUCCAUUCAUCCGGGUUCCACGAAGGCAUAUCAGUACAUAAGGCAACAAUAUUGGUGGCAUAGAAAAAAAGGACAUAGUGGAAUAUGUAUCCAGUGUCUAAAUUGCCAGCAGGCAAAGUCUGAGCAUUAGCAGUCUGGUGGAUUGUUUCAAAAGUUAGAGAUUUCAGUGUGGAAAUGAGAGUGGAUUGCUAUGGAUUUUGUUGUUAGAGUCCCAAAGACUUAACAUGCGUUUGAUGCAAUAUCAAAAAUUUCAGAUAGGCUGACCAAGUCAGUUCAUUUCAUUCCUGUGAUGACUACCUAUUCUUCCAAGCAGCUAGCUCGAAUCUACAUCCGCAAGAUCGUCGGGCUUCAUGGCAUACCGGUAUCUAUCAUCUCUAACCGUGGUACGUACUUUACAUCACAGUUUUGGAGAACCAUACAACAUGAGUUGGGUAAUCGAGUUGAGUUGAGCAAAAUAUUUUACCCUCAAAUGGACGGGCACUCCGAGCGCACUAUUCAAAUUCUUGAGGAUAUGCUCCGUGCAUGUGUGAUGGAGUUUGGAGGUUCUUAGGAUCAAUUCUUUCCCCUUGUGGAGUUUUCCUACAACAACAGGUAUCAAUCUAACAUUCAAAUGGCACCAUAUGAGGGUCUGUAUUAUGGUAGGCGGUGUCGGUCCCUAAUGGGUUGGUUUGAGUAGGGUGAGGCUAGAUUAUUGGGCACAAACUUGGCCCAGGACGCUUUGGAGAAGGUUAAGAUAAUUUAGGAUAGAAUUCGUACAACCUAAUCUAGACAAAAGAGUUAUGCAGACUAGAAGGUUUUCGCUAUUGCAUUCAUGCUUGGAGAGCGCUCUUACUCCGGGUGUCGCCUUUGAAGGGCGUUAUGAGGUUUGGAAAAAAGGGCAUGCUAAUCCCAAGGUUUAUUAGUCCCUUUGAGGUGUUGCGCCGAGUUGGGGAGGUUGUUUAUGAGCUUGUUUUACCUCCCAAUCUAGUAGGAGUUCAUCAUGUAUUUCAUAUUUCUAUGCUCCGGAGAUAUAACGACUAGCCGUCUCAUAUCCUAUGUUGAAGAGCUAGUGACUAUUUUUGACAGGCAGGUUCAAAAUCUGAGGUCAAAUAACAUUGCAUCAAUAAAGGUUCAGUUGAGGGGCCAACCGAUCAAGGUUGCGACUUGGUAGACCGAGCAAGAUAUGCACAGCCAUUAUUCUUAUCUUUUCACCAUUUAAGAGGGAGAAGAUGUAACGAUCUGGCCGAUAAUUUUGAGAGUUGUAGCUCCGAUCCCCUAUUAACUGCUUCCUCCAUCUUUUUCCGGCUUAUGUGACUUUCCAGGAAGUUUGGUUUUGGUUUCUGGUGUGUUUUAGGACACUUACCCCCUAAGCGGAUGCUUAAGUCUUGGAAUUUGUAUCGUAGUCGGAACUCUAUGAAGACAACUCCAGGUUGGAGUUCAAUCAAUUACAUUAGCUACAUUAGGUUAUUUUGGUUUUAGGGGCAUAUACGAAUUGUAUUUUGGAGGUUCGUAGCUUAUUUAGGCUUGAAAUAACGAAAGUCAAAUUUUCGGAGAUUUUAAUCGAUAGUGUACUUUUUGAUAUUGGGGUCGGAUUCUAAUUCCAGAAUUUAAAUUAGGUCCAUAAUGCUAGAUAUGACUUUUGUGCAAAAUUUGAGGUCAUUCGGACAUGGUUUGAUAGAUUUCAGCAUUGGUUGUAGAAUUUUGAAGUUUCAAGUUCUUUAAGUUUGUAUUGGAGGUGAUUUGUGAUAUUAGCAUUAUUUGAUGUAAUUUGAGGGCUCGACUAAGUUUCUGUGGUGUUUUAGGACUAGUUGGUAUAUUUGGUGAGGUCCCGGAGGCCUUGAGUGUGUUUCGGAUGCUUAACUAAUGAAAUAUUGGACUUAUGCAAUUUCUUAUGUUGCUAGUUUAUGGGGUAUUUGCACCUGCAGUGGGGAUACUGUAGGUGCGGUAUCGCAUGUGUAGAGUGUGAAGCUAAGAACCGGGAAAGUGGAGUGCCAAAGGUCGCAUGUGUGAGGUGCAUUCUGCAUCUGCGAUGCCCUCAUAUUUGAUGGAGAGAUUGCAGAAGCAGUUAAGGACUGCAGAAGCGGACAAUUGUUUGUUGGUGCACACGCACAAGUGAAGACACUUUAUCGUAGAAGUGGACCCAAGUGUCUUAAGUCAAUUCCACACCUAGGAUGGAAGUUCCGCAGGUACGACAUUGUAGGUGCGACUGAGGGUCCACAGGUGCGAGAUCACUUGCAGAAAAAGGGCAAAAUCGAGGGUUUAUGUCAUCUUUCACCAUUUGACUUUGAGAGUUUGGAUUUAGGCGAUAAUUUGAAGGAUAUUCAAAGAUAUCAAUUACGUAAUGAUUAUACACUUGGUUUUGGUUAUAUCCCACUAAUCUAUCCUUCAUUUUACCAUUUAAUUUUGAAUUUGGGGUGAAAAUUUUGAAAACCUUUAGAAAAGUUCUUAGGCCAAAUUUUGGGGUUUUGAUUGAUGUUUUGAUAUUGGAUUUGAGUAAUUUUGGUAUGAGUGAAUGGGUGUUCAUAUUUUUUGACUUUUACCAGAUUCCAAGUCGUGUGCCCGUGGAGGCUUUUUGGCGAUUUUUUGAAUUUCUUGAUUUUUUUUUGAUUUCAUUAGCUAGAUUAGUUCAUUGUAGUUAUAUUUAUGUUAUGUUAUUGCUAUUGGCUUGAUUUUGGCCAUUCGUUGUCGGAUAUUCGUGGGAAAACCAUAGUUAUGGAUUGAUCUGAGCUUGGUUCGAGCUAAGUGACUUGCCUAAACAUAUGUGGGGGAAACUCCCCUUAGGAUUGAUACUAUUUUGAUAUGUGAGCGUUAUGUAUCUGAGGUGACGAGUACACAUAUGGGACAAUUGUUUUAAAAACCUAAUUUCACUGAGUAAUAACAUGUUCUUCUUCUUUUUGAGUUAUAACAGCAUAUGUAGUAUCAUGUUAUCUUAGAAUAGUAUGUUUACUUGCCUUAAUUGCUUAUCUGAACUCUGUGCAGCAUGUUUAGUGAAAUUCCUAUUUUUCCUGGACUUGUACUUAGUCGAAAUUGUAGGUUUUCUUGCUGUAACCAUUAUUUACGUUGUUCGAGCUGCAUAUUUACUUUAGGACUACGGAACAAUGUUUCAGGAGAUCCCUAUAUCUUGUAUAUUUACUUUAGGGACUACGGAACGGUAUUCCGGGAGAUCCCUCUGCAUAUUUACGUUUAGGACUACGGGACACGUUCUUGGGAGAUCUCCUAUCGUUAUCUCUCUGUUUUGAGUUGUUUCCUUUUUCUGAUUACAUUCUUGUUUCAGUAUUUAUUUUUACCUCAAUAUUUCCAUCUGUCCUAUGUUAUUAUAUAUACACUAGCAGGGCCCUGACCUGAUCUUGUCACUACUCGACCGAGGUUAGGCUUGGCACUUAUUGGAUAAUAUUGUGGUGUACUCAUGCCCUUCCCUACAUAAGUUUUUUUGUGUGCAGAUCCAGGAACCGCUUCUCAACUGCAUAUUGAGUUAGGCGAGACAGUUUAUAGACUUCAAGGUAUAUUUGUCGCAUCCGCAGACCUCAGAUUCUUUCUGUAAUAAUCUACCCAACUCUCAUUUUAUUCUUCUAGCAACAUAAGUGCUUUUAUAGGUAAGGUUCAAAAAGAUUAUUAAAAACAAGACGGGAAUUAUCUUGUAAUGUGGGUGCCAAUGAAAAGGUUUAUUGUUGGGCUAUCUAAGGAUAAUUUUAUUUAUGGUGGUAUAGUAGCUCAAUGGACAAUCAAAAAGACGCCUACAUCAUCUGUGAGACAUACAAAGCUUACUUAUUUCGCUUCGACGAACACACGGGGCAAGUUCUAGACUAAAUAGAGGAUAGCGCAUAACAAAUCAAUCUUCACAUAACACAAUACAUAUGAUUCACUCCGGACGGUUCAGACUCGACACUUAAGUUAAACAACUAGGAAUAUUCAUCAUAUUAAUCAAAACAUGGAAAGUAAUCACAUGACUCAACAGAUGAACUUAAGCGUUAAAGGAUAGUCACAUAUAUUCUCAAGGCAUGUGGCUCUUAAAACACAAAGAAUAUAAUCCAUUCAAAUGUUAUAGCUCUAAGUCCCGGUAUAAAACAUGUCAAAAACCAUUAAUACUCAAGUUGUUCCAUUCUAUUAUCAGUUCUACAGAAGAAAGAAAAGGAAAAUAUUUUUGUAUUUUUCUGUAAAAUUUACUCCCCCAAGAAAACUGUCUAAGAAAUCUAUCAUCGGGAAAAGUCGAAAUUUUUUAAAAAUUCUACCUACCAAAAAAAUACUAUCCGGUUCAAAGAGUCAUCCCUUGAAAAAGUACCGCGGCCAUAAGAAAAACCAACGGUGAUUAUUUUUAUCUAAUUAUUUUUCUACUUUCACUUCUUGUCUUUUCAAAAUAAAUUAGCAAACUAAAAUAGCAAAGAAUCAUCCAGACAAUCUCCCUGCCCUAUGCAUUGUCCCCCGAUGUAAGCCAUACAAAAAAAUAGGGCAAAAGAAACUCCCUGAUAGGCCAAAUUCCAAAGCAUUAGCAGCUCAUGGGAUACUCAAACUACUCUUGGGCAUAGUACUUUGUGCAGGUACCCCACACUUAGUUUCAACCAUGUUUGCAUCCUUCCAAAAGAUUUUCUUCUCACGCUCCUACUCCUACAAAGUAAAAGAUAAGACUACAAAAUAACAUAAUAGGAAAAAUACAAAAAUAAACUAGAAAUAAUAGAAAGCAGUAAAGUUGAGUUUCCUCACAACAAGCACCUAAUUUACCAUCGCGACAUGACGUGAAUCACUUUUUUCCUCCACCUCGAGAUUAUGAAUUGGACCUCGAGUUUUGAUUCUACUAUAUGAUUAUGCUCUAUGCGCGAUACAAAUUGUUGCGAGCCAAAAAUUAGAUUAUUUAUGCACAUUUUGGAUUUCAACCGAAGAAUGUCACUUUGCCUAGAAGGCCUUAAGAAUUUUAGAAUAUAGGGCUCAUCUGCCUCUUCCUUGGACUCUUGCAUUGGCUCAUACAGAUCAAUUUCCAUUUUUCCAUCUGAACACAAUGUAGAGAAGUGUUUGACAUAAGGUCCAACACGCUCAAAGACAUAAACUCCAAGAUUUUCUACCUUCUCAACACCAAUCAUACUAGAGUCAACUAAAGUUGUAUCUUCAAUGUCCCUGGUUGACUCUAGUAUUACUUCUUCAAUAUCGGCAUCCUUAAAUUCUAGUUGGUUUGAUUGUUGGUAUUCUACUUUGUCCUCCUCCAUUAUAACUUCAAUUUUGGUAUCUAAUUCAUGCUCUUCUUAGGUACUAUCCACAAUAUUGGCUUAUUGAGUAUUAAAUGCUUCAAUUAGUUGAAUCAUUUGUCCUCCAGUUUACUAAUAGUGGCAUCUUGACUUUAAAUAUUCAGUUGUUUCUCAUUGUUUUAUUCCACAAGGUAGCUUAGCAUAUCCUUGGUCUCGUUCAGGUCAUCAUACAUGGGUUCUUUCCUCCUAUUAACUUUGCAAGAAAAAGAUAACCAUCAAAGUAAGGGGUUGGGGAAAUAUAAGAAAUAUAAGCACAACCAUUAAAGGGACCAUCUUGACCACCACACAUAUCACACAAAUUCCAUACAUAAGAUUGAAUUAGUUCACAUAACUUGCUCUCAGAAAUAUUUUGAUAGUUUUGCCAUGGCUGGUUUCCUCCAUGGCUAUAGUAGACUUACCAAUAUCAAAACUCUUAUAAUUCCAAGAUGACAUGUUUCUCGAAUCAACAAGUGAAAUAAAAUAAAAAAAUAAAAAAAAUGUUAAAACAAUAAUAAUAGUUCAAACGUGCAACCUAGCAAUAUGUACACCUAAAGCUACACCAUUAGUUCCCUGGCAACAGUGCCAAAAUUUGAUCGUGCUCACACUCUAGUCCUAAAAAGGAUAAAUAAUUGCUGUAAAUAUUAUCCAAUCUAAAUGUCCGAAGUCGAAUCUCGUGGAGAACUAAGGCUUAUCUACAAUUGUUUAGUAUUGCUAAUAAAUACAAGUUCAAGUAAUUUUCUAGUUAUAAAGAUUGUAAUCUUUUUUAUUUUAAACUAAUUAACUAGCAAAUACAAAAAAUUAGUAAUUUAUCAACUAAUUAGACUAAGGAGGUCUAGAGUGAUGAUUUUCUCAAUUGUCAGAAUUCUCCCCACUAGGUUUUUUAUAAUUUUUCCAAAGUAUUCUCCAUGGUUCGUGAGUACUUCGGGUGUCAUAAUUAUCUUCCAUGCAACUACAAUAGUUACUAGACAUAUUCUUCCGAACUACCUAGCUGACACUAAUUAACCGCUCGGUAAGAUCACACCAAUAUUUAGUUAUUCCUAAUCCUAUCUUUAAACCCUCUAUAUUGAUUCCUCACAUACAUUAGGAGUGAUGUUGUCCAAUAAAUACCUAAAUAUAUACCAUUUUUCCAAGCAAACACACUAAAUUGGCACACUCAAUUGAUGGCCAUUCAAUCAACAAUAUUAAAUACGUAGUUGAACAAGUAGAGAAAUCCAAUGGCUCAAUUAUAUAAAAACUUACUAAGAAUUCACCCUACAAAAAGGUUCUAUCAAAACCCUAGAUAAUAAAUUUGUCAUUCAUAAUAAUACGUGAAACUACAAUAUUAGAAUUGAUAACCAAUAAUGAAAAUAGGAAGAAGGAUGUGAAAAACUCGUAGAGAAAUUCUCCGUCUUGCUCCUGAAAUGUUCUUGCCUCCUUCAGUCAGUAGUCCACUCUAAAAACGUCCAAUUCCCCUGUUAGGUCGUCUCCAAAUAUGUCUCUCCCCUUUCAAAAGAGAGUUUAAGGACUAUUUAUGUGGGAUAGGGUUAGCAUGAGGCAAAAUAAUACAAGCCAACUUUCGAAAAGACUCUUCAAGUUAGCUUGUUCAUUCUCUCGUGUGCGCGAGGGUGAAUGGAGAAGUACUUGUAACGACCCAAGUUCACCCUCCGUGAACUGUCGUGACGGCACCUAGUCUCUAUGACUAGGUAAGCCUAACAAUUGCGGAAAGAGAACCAAAAUGUGGAAAAACUAACAAAAACUAAAGAUAAACAGAUAUAGAAGUGUUUAAGAUGCCGCUCGACAUAUACCAAUACAAGAUCUCAACACUGAAAGAUUCCUAAAAUCUAGAAUAUUAUGAAAUCAGAAGCAAUACAAUGUGCUCUAACUCCAGAAUGUCAAGACGAAAGUAAAUACAGAAGGCUAAUGCUAUAAGAGAGAACGGAAAGGGACUCAUAUUGAUACCCAAUUUUUCUCUGUAUAUUUUUUAUAUGCAAAAUAGUUUCAAAAUAGCAUGUGCUUGCAUAUAUAAGUAUGUCCAAAUGUUUCAUUAUUUUUUCCUUAAUUUUUUUACAGAUUUUUAAAUCAAGUUAUUGCCCUAUUUUAUCUAUAAACUCCCAAUAAUUAUUCCCAAAAUUAUCAUUUUUGGUGAUUCAUUUAUUGAAUUUUCAUAUUUAUACUAAAAUGUGGCAAAUAUAAUUUUUUCAUAUUUUUGAAAGUCAUUUAGUAUUUUUAAAGUUAAGAUGUAUAUAGUUACAAUAUUAGUCUCUUUCAGGAUUUUAUUACGUUUAUAGUCAUAAACAAUUAGGAAUGGUAUUCAAAAUAGUUGAUUAUUGUGUUAUAGAUCAUUUUAGUACUUUUAAUUUAUUCCUAGAAAUUAAUAUAUUAUUUUUUAUGAAUCAAAUAGGGGAAAACUGCCUAUUUAAGUUGUAGCCAAAUUUGUCUUUCAAUUAUGUCGAAAAUCGGACCAAUUCCCAGCCCUAUUUUUGUUUCUUAUAACCCAAGCACCCGACCCAGAACCUAUAUACAUCUACCCGACCCAAAAAACCCAUUAGAUCAGGAACGUUGAUCUAAAAGAUCAAUGACAGAAUUUGUUCUUACCAUUUUAAUUCACACGACCCCUCCCCCAAACCCUAAGCUAUUUUCCAAAGACGCCACCUUCAGAUGCUCUCAUCUUCUCUCCUCUCUCAACCCUAACCCUAAACUCUGUUAAUAGCCUCCUUCUCCAGCCAUCUCCGGCUACCUCCUCUUAACCCUAAACCUCCAAUGGGUCUCUUAUCGCCUUUCUCAAUAUCUAUAAGGUCCUCAAGGGUCCUAGGCCAUGUCUAUUUGGACCUAGGGUUUUUGGAAACACACCAUAUGUGUUAGGAUUUGUGAAGUUCCAACAGGUUCUUUCGAUUUCUAUUUGGGUUUCCUUUUGAAACCCUAACUCUUUCCUGAAUCUCUCAGAACAAUGUUAUUUUCAUGCUUUAAGUAUGUUUCCUUGUAUGAUCUGCUUAUUCGUGAGUUUCUUCUAAAAGAUCAUCUAAUUUUAACAUUUUUUACUUUCUUUGAAAAAACUAGGGUUUCUCAGAGUUCUUUUACGUAUGUUCUAACUGAUUUCUUUAUGGUUAAACCUCUUCCUUGUUUAUUUUGACCUAUUUUUAUUCUCAUACUACUUUUUAACUUGACUCUACUAAGAGCCCUAAUUUCUAAAAAAUUUCUUUGCUUUGGUUAUAUGUGUUAGCCUGCUUUUCUUUGCCUUGAUUCUAUGUGUUAAGCAUGAUUCCUUCGCUUUGUUUAUGUGUGUUAGCCUGAUUUAUUUGCCUUCAUUUUGUGUGUUAACAUGACUUCCUUUGCCUUGAUUCUGUAUGCUAGCCUAUUUACCUGAAUCUUGUUAAUUUCACCUGGCCUCGAAUAUGUUCUGCUGAAUCUUAGCCUACUUAUACCACCUUUGAAUGACUGUGUUUGCUCAUCUCUUAUUUCUUUCUGUCUAUAUGGUUGACUUUGUUUACUACUCUUUUUCAUCCACCUCUAUUUGUAUGUUGAAAAUACCAAACCAUGACUUCUCAUGAUUGAUUUUGAUUUUCCUUAAUUGUUGGUUAUUGAAAUAUUUUCUUUCAAAACCCUAGAAUUCUACUCGUCUGUUUAAAUUAAUUGAUUUCAUUACCUUAUCUGCUAUGGUACGUUGUUUUACUAAGAUUUUCCUUAAUUGGGGUUUUCCUGAAUUUGGUCUUAACGGACUACUCUAUGCCUACUCAACCUUGACCCCUUCAUUAUUUAAUCAUGCACUGAUUGUUCUCUCUCCUUAUGUGGUACUGAAUCUCUCCGUUUGAUCUUGAUUCCCUUAACUUAAGGGAGUAAUUCUUUGAUUCUCUUAUUGAUUGAUUAUGAGUUAUUAAAUUAGUAUACGACUAUGAUUCUUACCUUAUUUCAUUACCUAUUUUCAGCUAUAAAUACCCUAAGUCUUUCACAAGUCCCUAGAUUCGGCAUGGUCACCAACAUUCACCCAAAAUUGCUAAGCUGGUGGAAAUAUCUUCAUUCUAGUGAUCAAACUCCAAUCCGAAAAUAUUUGGGAAACCUACCUUUUCUCCUAGAAAUCCAACCCAACAACAAGAUCAUAGAACCUGAUACUUUGUUUUGGGAUUGUGAUAGGUCUGUAUUCUGCUUCGGGGAUAUUGAAAUGACACCCUUGCUGGAAUAGAUAAGAGGAUUGGCCAAUAUAGCGUGAGAGACUCUGGGUUUGUUCGUUCUCCGUAACCGCAAGGGGAGGGGUUUCCUCAAAAUGAUGGGUUUGAAGAAGAAUCCAGAACUGCCAUGUUUGAAAGAAUCCUACAUUCCUUUUGAUUAUUUGUACGAGAGGUACGGCCAUAGAAAAUCCUACCUUACCUAUCCUGACGAGUUUGACAUCACAUCAUUAGGGCAUAUUCACCGAAGGGCCUUUCCAUUAAUGUUUUGUUUCUUGAGAUUGGUCGUGUUUCCACUCAAGAAAGCAAGAAUUACACUAGACUAGCUAUGGUAACUAAGACCUAAAUAGAAGGAAUUGGCGGGGAACCAUUCAACAUUGUGCACAUGAUCAUUGCGGAGAUAUACCGAGCCCUGGAAAAGUGUCAACGAGGAGCCAAACACUUCGAAGGCUGCAAUUUGCUACUUCAGAUCUUGCUCAUGGAGCAUCUCCAAAGGGGUGAAUACCGAUAAGAGAUUCAGUGAAGGGAAUGGAAUGAUCAUAUAGCUUUCCAUCAUCCGGAGCGAAUGAAUUACAUGCCCAAUAUGUUCGCCCAAUCAGAGAAUGCUAGAGAAUGGGUCGAGCUCUUUGAGAAUUUGACUGAGGACCAAGUGCAAUAGAUGUUCGAGUGGUUUCCGACCGAGGAUUUGAUCGCCCGAUCCAAGGAUGCACCUUUUCUGAUAUUGAUCGGUCAGAGAGGAACAUAACCUCACUCCCUCUCCAAGUUAUGAGGCAAGCAGGUAAGAAUCAGGUUGUACCCAGGAUUGACAAGAUGAGUCACUUCCAAGCAGACUUCCAGGAUGAUGAUAGUCCUUACCAGUGCCAAUCUCAGCAUAUGUGGCACUGCAAGAUCACCAUGGGAAGGGAUACCAUCGAGCCAGAUAGAUACCAUGUUGGUUGUGCUCCCUACUAUUUAGGCCGAUUAGAGGAUAAGCAUGAUGGCCUGCGCCAACCUAGAUUUGUUCGAGGUUAGAGGAUAAUAGAUGAAAAGCUCAGGCACAUGUCAAAUACAACCAACUGCGCAAAAGGAUCUGGGAGUGCGAAAGCGAGCACAAUGAGAUACAAGAAUCCAAUCAAAAGUUAAUUGAGGAAUGGAAAGACAUGGUUGCCAGUGCAAACAAGUGACUGGGAUACUUGGAGUGAGGCAUAGUGGAGUUGGAGAAGAAAUUUCUCAAGAGGGUCGAAGACUGCCAGAAUGCUAUAGGAAACGAAGGCGGAUAUCUAGCCAGAGCCUAUCUAUUGUUGGGACUUCGUGAGUAGGGAAAACUGUUUGGUGGAGCCAGGGAUAUCGAAUCUGGGGAAGGUCCUUCUGAGACCAAAUAGAUGGAAGUCUUCUUUUUCACUUUACAUGAAAUGUAAUAAGGCCAAUGACCAUUAAUGACUUUUAUUUCCUGCAUGUUUAGUGUCGAUUUGGGAUUUGUCUUAUUUUUUAUCAAUAAAAUGAGGCAUUUAGCAUUCCCUACCUCGGGCACAACGAGGCUCCCAAACUAAGACAUGUUUUAUAUUCAUGCACUAUGUGUUUAAAUAUUGCAACAUCUUUUUAUGAUCCUCACUAACUUGUUACCUUAUUGUUUUUGCUUUUUGUUUAUUAUUCCCCCUCCCCAAAUGUUAGUUCGUGCACUCCGGCAAUAUCAUCUUAUUCUAGGAGAUCCAGGGGCUCUCCGCCCACUCAUCUUCUUAGUCCUAUCAAAAACAAGAACAAAGGGAAGAAGGAAGAUUUUAACAACGCCAGAAAGGAGAACUCAACUGAACGGGUAGAGGUCACUCAUGGUCAUGUCACUCAAGUUUCCAAAGAAAAUGCAUCUCAACUCGAUAAAACCUGUUGAAAUUCCAAGAAAAACUUGAUCAGAUGUGGCAAAUCUGUCAUUUUCCCUAACUACUCCAGAUAUCAAUUUCCCAAAUGCUCAGAGCCAUACACCUCCACAGAACAUCCCAAAGCAAUAAUACCAUGUCGCUCCCCACCAUCACUGCAACAUCUGCCAUACUUCAAACAAUACCAUUAAUCAUCCUAGAACCCUGAACUCCACAAAUGACCACUGCCACACCCACCAUAAUACCCCCAUCCACGUGCAGACUAUGAAACACUCCACCAAACCCAUCUCAAACGCAUCCGAGUCCGUUGAUAAAAACUCGCUCAUCAAAAACUUGGCUGAAGAACUUAAGAAAUUGACUAGCCGAAUUCAAGGCGUUGAAGGAAGUAAGGGAAUUAAAGGGCUGAACUAUGAAGAUCUUUGCAUACAGCUCGAUGUCGAACUGUCCGAGGGGUACAAACCUCCUAAGUUUGAGAUGUUUAAUAGUAUAGGGGAUACAGGGAUCCAUUUAAGAAGUACUGUGACAAGUUGGUUAGAGUAGGGAAAGACGAAAUAAUUCGCAUGAAACUAUUCAUGAGGAGCUUGAAGGGAGAUGCUCUAUCUUGGUAAAUUAUCCAAGAUCAAAAGAAGUGGUCAAACUGGGUGAAUAUGGCAUCCAACUUUACGGACAGGUUCAAGUUCAACACAGAGAAUGCGCCGGAUGUGUUCUACAUUCAGAAUCUAAAGAAGAAGCCUAUAGAAACAUUCCGCGAAUAUGCUACUUGCUGGAGGUCCAAAGCUGUUAAGGUUAGACCUGCCUUAGAGGAAGAAUAAAUGAACAAAAUCUUUAUUCGGGCUCAAGACCCAGAGUAUUAUGAAAGGCUGAUGAUGAUCGAGGGCCACAAAUUCACUGACAUUAUCAAGCUGUAAGAAAGGAUUGAAGAGGGCAUCAAAAGAAGUAUGGUUACGAACUUUAAGGCCUUGCAAGCAACAAAUAAGGCCCUAUUGUCAGGAGGUAUGUCCAAAAAAAGGGACGUAUGAUUCGUCAUGGUGGCGCAGAGAACAAAAUCUCUCGUCAAAUACCAGACCUACCAAUGCCUCCACUCACAUAUUAGCCUAAUCCAACCUACCAAUCACCCUCACACUCUUACCAAACUCUACCACCCACUUAUCAGUCGCCUCCUCCUACCAUAUAUUAGCCUACUUCACCCAUAUAUUCCCAACCAACACAUGUUUACCAAGCUUAUAAUGCUCAACCAUCCCACUAUCAAUCCCCUCAUGCACGCCAAAACAUCCUUAGACAUCAAUUAAAAUUAGGCUGAAGGCCUCCAAAAUAAUAUACAGCUAUUGUUGAACCUAUUGACCAGUUGUACGAAAGACUCAAAGUUGUUGGUUAUGUCACCCUUAUCCCCGCUGCGACUCCUAAGAAUCCUUCUCAGUAGUUUAAUCCAAACAAAUCAUGUACGUACCAUUCCAGCAUGAAAGGACACACCACUGAUGGAUGUCAUUCUCUGAAAGACAAGAUCCAAACUUUAAUUUAUAAUAAGACUAUCGUGGAAAAUGAACCAAAUGUCCGCAAUAAUCCUCUGCCAGACCAUAAGGGUGUAGGUGUUCACAUGAUUGAAAUAAAGGUAUUGGGAUCCUGAGGGAUUGAUCGGUUUGAUCACAGAAGAUAAUGACCCAAAGAAACCAAUAGUUACUCUUAAUCAGAUCGUGGUCAAGAUUUAGACCUCUGGGCACGCCAAGAUAAAUAUGCCCAUGAGAGUUGAGUUUGAAGCAACAUCCUCUAAAAAGACACUAGCACCACUUGCGGUCUAAUUUGUGUCUCCAGUAAAUGCACCUAUACCAUUUGAAGUUGCAAUUUUACCGCCCAAGGUACAUGCUCCGUUUGAAGUAAAGAUAGCCACACCGAUCCCAGUAGCAAUGUAAACCAUGAUGCCAUUCCAUACAAAGGCUAUCCCAUGGGAUUAUACAGCCAAAGCAAGAAGGAAAGGCAAGGUUAGGUUCGAAAAGGCUAUUGCAGCACAUGGUAUUACGAGAACUGGUAGAGUUUAUACGUCGGAGCAUCUAGCUGAGUCGAGUAAGCAAGCCUCUAACCGACCACCCAUCAUCAAUACUAGGCCGGACAAUCUCUGGAGAAAGAUACAGGCCAAGGAAUACUCGGUCAUCGAUGAACUGAAUAAAACACUGGCAUAUAUUUCCAUCAUUGCUUUGCUACAACAUUUUGAGGAACACAAGAAUGCGUUGUUGAGGAUGUUGAGUGAAGCAUACGUGCCAAGAAACAUCACUGGGGGAGAAACGGCUAUCAUGGUAGGAUAGGUAUUGGAAAGUUACAAGAUCAAUUUUCAUGAAGAUGAGCUGCUACCAGAAUGGUUGGGUCACAACAAGGCGUUCCAUAUCACCGUAUAAUGCAAAGACUAUUUUAUCACCAGAAUCCUAAUCGAUAGAGGGUCCAGCCUCAACAUUUGUCCACUGGUAACACUCAGGAUAUUGGGGAAGUGACUGCAUAAGAUAAAGGAGAGAUCCAUAAAUGUGAAAGCAUUUGACAGUUCCCAAAGGUCCACUAUUGGGGAAAUUAGUCCAUGUUUACAAAUAUGGCCAACUUGGUUUGAUGUUGAUUUCCAAGUGAUAAACGUACCAGCAUCUUACAAUCUGUUGUUGGGAAGGCCAUGGAUUCAUGCUGCCGGGGCCGUAGCAUCAACACUACAUUGGGAAAUAAUUUUUGAAUGGAAUCACUAGGAGGUGAUCAUUUACGGUGAUGGUAGCAAUCCUAUAUAUAGUUGUCAGACCAUUCCAGCAAUAGAGGGAAGAAGAAAGUUAGGUGGGGAGACCUAUCACCACAUCGAGCGAGUCAAUGCUGUUGACAAAGAUAAAUGAUGGGACAACAAGAUCAAGAGGAUAUUGAAUUGGAGUUGGUACGAAUCUUGCAAGGGGGUUGGCAAGAACCUCCAACGAAUCACCAAGCCUAUAAAACUGAAGAAACAUGACACCACUUUUGGUUUGGGAUAUUAAUAUACCUGGAAAGAAAUCAAAAACUGGUCGCUACCAUGGCACGGUCCUUACUACCUACUGGAACAGCCAAUAACACCUUUGGAGAAGACUUUCCAACAGGACAAAAUUGUUUAUGGGACAGACGAUGAGGAUGCACUUGCUGUAGUAAAGAACUUGUCCUUAGAAGACGAUGACAUGGAUUGAUGUGUUGUGUUGAAGGGGGAAGGGGAGAAAGGUCCUUCCAUACAAGUCGUAAGCAUAGGAACAUACCUCAACAACUACACCUUCAGAACCACCAGAGCCCUGCGAGCUUCGAGGUAGCAAGGCCUAACAAGCAUCAUGCACUAUCUCUUAUAUUUACUAGUUAAUUUUUUUUCUUUCGCAUUUUUUUGAUUUCCGCAAUAAGAUCUUCAAUGUUUAAAACAGUUAUGGAAUUUAUCAAAGAAUUUCAAUUUUUCUUAUAAAUCAACACUCUUAUUAUUUUCUCUCAUUACUUUACUUAUGCAGCAUUACUAUCACUUGUCUUGAAUGACUUUGAUAUGCAAUGAGACAACGCUACAAACGGACAUAAAUUCAGAUGAAGAUGACAUAUCAGAGGAGAUUGUUAAAGAAGUUGAGAAUUUUGAAAACAGACCGAAGUCCAACCUGGAUGAGACUGAAAUUGUUAAUCUGGGAGAUGCAGAGAAUGUCAAGGAAACAUGAAUCAGUGUUCUUUUUUCACCAUCAGAAAAGAAGGAAUACAAAGAAUUUCUAGGAGAAUACAAAGACAUAUUUGCCUGGUCAUCCGAUCACAAGACUGGAUUGAGUACAUCUAUUGUGGCUCACAAACUACCCACCGAUCCAACAUGUCCGCCGGUAAAGCAAACGCUUAGAAAGUUCAAGCCUGAUAUGAGUCUAAAAAUCAAGGAGGAAGUCACUAAGCAUGUCAAAGAUAAGGUUCUCAGGGUAGUAGAAUACCCGACAUGGUUAGCCAACAUUGUGCUAGUACCAAAGAAGGACGGGAAGGUUAGAGUCUGUGUCGACUAUCGGGAUCUCAAUCGGGCCAGUCCAAAAGACGACUUCCCUUUACCAAACAUACACACACAAAUCCACAAUUGCGCCAAGUAUGAGUUGCAGUCAUUUGUGGAUUGUUUCGCUGGUUGUCAUCAGAUCUGGAUGGAUGAAGAAGAUGUAGAGAAAAUGACUUUCAUUAUGCCGUGGGGAAUGUAUUGUUACGAGAUGAUGCCAUUUGGUUAAAGAAUGCAGAGGCUACCUACAUGAGGGCCAUGACUACCAUUUUUCAUGAUAUGAUACACAAGGAGGUUGAUGUAAAUGUAGAUGAAGUUAUCAUCAAGUCCAAGAAGGCCACUGAUCACAUGGAAGAUUUGAUGAAGUUUUUCAAUAGAUUGAGAAGGUACAACUUGAAACUAAAUCCUGCAAAGUGUGCAUUUGGGGUUCCCGCUGGAAAAUUACUUAGGUUUAUUAUGAGUCUCCAAGGAAUAGAACUGGAUCCAUCAAAAGUCAAAGAUAUUCAAGAAUUUCCACCGCCAAAGAAUAAGAAGGAUGUGAUGAUUUUCUUGGGAAGACUUAACUACAUCAGCCAGUUCAUAGCACAAUCUACAGUUAUCUGUGAGCCAAUGUUUAAGAUGUUAAAGAAGGAUACUGCCACCAAAUAGACUGAUGAAUGCCAUAAAGCUUUCGACAGAAUCAAGGAAUACCUAUCAGCACCACCAUUUUUGGUACCCGCCCGAGCCAAGUAGACCCCUACUACUCUACAUCGCAGUGCUAGAUGGUGCCUUUGGUUGCGUCUUGGGGCAGCAUGAUGAAACAAGGAAAAAGGAACAUGCAAUUUACUAUCUUAGCAAGACAUUCACUCCGUACGAAGCCCGAUAUUCUCUGUUAGAUUGCACCUACUGUGCUUUGACCUGGGCGGCUCAGAAACUGAGGCAUUACUUCUAUGCCUAUACCACAUAUCUCAUAUCAAGGAUGAAUCCUUUGAAGUACAUCUUUCAGAAACACAUGCCCACUAGCAGGCUAGCCAAGUGGAAAAUCCUGUUGAGUGAAUUCGAUAUUGUCUACGUAACUCAGAAGGAAAUCAAGGGACAUGAACUAGUAGAUCACCUUGCAGAAAAUCCUGUAGAUGCAGAAUACGAACCCCUGAAUACGUAUUUUUCUUACGAAAAGGUAUCAUGCAUAGGAGAAGAUAUUGUAGAAUCCUGUGAUGGUUGGAGAAUAGUUUUGAUAGAGCAGCAAAUUUCAAAGGAUUUGGCAUAGGAGCAGUCUUGGUGUCAGAACCUGGUCAUCAUUAUCCGGUGUCUACCAAACUUAGGUUCCCCUGCACCAAAAAUAUGGCCGAAUACAAAGCCUGCAUCCUAAGGCUCAAGAUGUCCAUUGACAUGAACAUUAGGAGUUACUGGUGAUCGGAGAUUCAGAUUUACGUAUAUAUCAAGCCCGAGAAGAAUGGAUAACCAAGAACUCUAAGAUACUCCCAUACCUGUAUCAUGUACAGGAAUUGAGAAAGAGGUUCACGAGGACAGAAUUCCAGCAUGUUCCCAGAAUCCAGAAUGAAUUUGCCGAUGCAUUGGCCACCCUGUCAUCUAUGAUACAACAUCCAGACAAAACCUUCACUAAUCCCAUUCCAGUAAAGAUCCAUGAUCAACCAGUUUAUUAUGGCAAUGUUGAAGAAGAGGCAGAUGAAAAGCCUUGAUUUCAUGAUAUCAAUGAAUAUUUGGCAAAGGGAGAGUACCCAGAACUUGCAAAUCCUACUAAACAAUGCAAACUUCAGGGAUUAUCCAACAACUUCUUUCACAGCGGAGGAAUCCUAUAUAAAAGGACUCCUGAUUUGGGAUUAUUAUUGUGUGUCGACGCAAAGGAAGCAUCCAGACUACUAGAAGAAAUUCAUGUUGGGACAUGUGGUCCACAUAUGAAAGGUUUUGUCUUAGCAAAGAAGAUACUUCGAGCUAGUUACUUUUCGAUGACUAUAGAAACCGAUUGCAUCCAGUAUGUCCGAAAAUGCAAUCGCUGUCAGAUACAUGCAGACAUGAUAAAAGUACCUCCAAGCAAGCUCAACAGAACAAGCGCACUAUGGUCGUCCAUCGCUUGGGGAAUGGACGUCAUUAGACCAAUCGAGCCUGCCUCUUCAAACGGGCAAAGGUUUAUCCUAGAAGAAUCGACUAUUUAACUAAAUAGGUCGAAGUAUCGUCUUACAGAGCAGUAACUAAAAAAGUCAUGGCAGACAUUGUCCAUGACCGCAUCAUUUGUUAAUUCAGGAUUCCAGAAUCAAUUAUUGCUGAUAAUCACUCCAACAUCAAUAGUGACUUUAUGAAAGCCAUAUGUGAAACCUUCAAGAUCAGACAAAAGAAUUCUAUAGCCUACAGGCCUCAGAUGAAUGGAGCUGUAGAAGCCGCUAACAAGAACAUCAAGAAUAUAUUGAGAAAGAUGAUAGAGAAACAUAAGCAAUGGAACAAAAAGCUAUCAUUUGCUUUGUUAGGAUAUCGCACCACAGUCCACACGUCAACCGGGGCACCUCCUAUAUGCUGGUUUGUUGUACAGGGGCAGUUAUUCCAGCUGAGGUUGAAAUUCCUUCCUUAAGAAUCAUACAUGAAGAUGAGCUAGACGACACUGAGUGGGUGAAAAGUCGUUAUGAGCAACUAGCCCGUGCAAAUAAAAAGAGAAUAAAAGUGAUUCGUCAUGGUCAACUUUACUAGAACAGAAUGUCCAAAGCCUUCAACAAAAAAGUCAAGCCGAGACAGCUCACACCGGGGCAGCAAGUGCUAAAGAAAAUUUUUCCGCAUCAAGAUGAAUCUAAAGGGAAUUUCUCACCCAACUGGUAGAGUCCAUACGUGGUUCAUCGGUUUUUUAAUUGUAGAUGCCCUCAUACUCGCAGAAAUGGACGGAGAAGCCUGGUUAAAGCCAAUCAACUCAAGUGCAGUCACACAUUACAACAUGUAAUCUAUAUGCUUUCCAAUAUGAUGUAGUUGAACUAUGCCUGACCCGAUUCCCGUUUAAGAGGGGAUACGUAGGCAGCACUAUGUGUUUGAUCACAAUUCAAUAAAAUUUUCAUUUCCACUAGUAAUUGGGAACUCGGGUAGAAUUUUGAGAAGGACCCUCAAAAUUUCGUAGCGAGAAGGUCGCAAUGUCUUGAGCUGCUUCACAGUCAACGGUUCAUCUAAAAGUUGUUCCUUAAUUGUAUACAUAUGUCAUAUUGUUGAAACAUUCAUGCAUUUUUAGUAUCAAAUGCCUUGUUUAUCAGUGCUACCCUAAUGAUACAUGCCGUAUCCCAGAUCAAAGCCGAAUAGGUCAAGCAAAGAAAGUGGGAAUACGAACUAACCUCCCCCCUCUACAAACUCACAAUUUUUCUUUAGAUGCAAGUACUGGGAUUACGAAAGCAUUAGGCAUGCUAUAUACUUAUGAGACAAACAUUGUUCAAAAAUACAAUUCUCAAAACUAUCGCACUAACCAACAUUUGCUAUCCACUCACACUGGGGAUAUUCCGUGUGUCACUAUGUCCCACGGGAAAUUGCAUCAUGUUUAAAUCCACGCACAAUGUAUGCUUGUAUUACUUAUUUGCAGGUAAAAUGGAAAGCACUGGCUGUCUCGAUAGGACCUACACCGCUCUAGUGCCGCAGCCACAUCAAGCCCAACCAUUCCAGUAAGCUACUCACUCGACCAACCUUAGAUAUUGCAUCCCUUCUUGAAAACUCUUCAUCGGCAUACUCCGCCAACGAAUCUUGAACUACAUUUGGCCUGAUUUCUACACAACCAGGGAUAUGCAGGCAGCUCCAAAGCCUAUUUGAACCAUUUCGUUCGGUCAAAAUUGGUCAUUAUAUCUUUACCCGACAACUCUUUCAUCCUUCCCGGGUAAAGAGGGCAGUUGUUGAUACCCAAUUUUUCCUUGUAUAUUUUUUAAUAUGCAAAAUACUUUUAAAAUUAGCAUGUUCAUGCAUAUAGAAGUAUGUCCAAAUAUUUCACUAUUUUUCCCUUAAUUUUUUAAAAUUUUUAAAUCAAAUAUACCAUAUUUUAUUUGUAAAAACCCAAUAAUUAUUACCAAAAUUAUCAUUUUUGGUGAUUCAUUUAUUGGAUUUUAAAAUUUAUACUAAAAUGCGGCUAACAUAAUUUUUUCACAUUUUUACAAAGUCAUUUAGUAUUUUUAAAGUUAAGUUGUAUGUAGUUACAAUAUUAGCCUCUUUCAAGAUUUUAUUACGUUUAUAGUCAUAAAAAAUUAGGUCAAGUAUUUUCAAUAGUUAAUUAUGUGUCAUAGAUCAUUUUGGUACUAUUAAUCUAUUCCCAAAAAUUAAUAUAUUUUUUUAUAAAUCAAAUAGGGGAAGACUGGCUAUUUAAGUUGUAGACAAUUUAGCUUUCAGUUAUGGCCAAAAUCGGACCAAUUCCCAGUCCAAUAUUUAUUUCUUGUACCCAAUCACCCGACCCAGACCCCAUAUAUGUCUACCCAACCCAAAAACCCCAUUAGAUCAUGAUCGUUGAUCUAAAAGAUCAACGGCUAGAGUUUGUUCUUACCAUUUUAAUUCAUACGACCCUCCCUCUGAACCCUAAGCCAUUUUCAAGGACCUCGCCUUCAGAUGCUCUCAACUUCUCUCCUCUCUCAAGCCUAACCCUAGACUCCGUCAAUCGCCUCCUUCUCCGGCCAUCUCCGGCUACCUCCUCUCAACCCCAAGCCUCCAACAGGUCUCUCAUCGAUUGCUCAACAUCUCUAAGCUCCUCAAGUAUCUUGGGCCAUGUAGAUUUGGACCUAGGGUUUUUGAUUCUGUUGUUCGAGGCUUCUCUGGUGUGAUUUUAGGCAAAAUCACACCAUAUGUGUUACGAUUUGUGAAGUUACAACAGGUUCUAUCGAUUUCUAUUUGGGUUUCCUUUUGAAACCCUAAGUCUUUCGUGGAUCUCUCAGAACGGUGAUAUUUUCAUGCUAUAACCAUUUUUUCUUGUAUGAUCUACUUAUUCUCGAGUUUCUUCUAAAAGACCAUCUACUUUGAAUCAUUUUUACUUUCUUUGAAAGAACUAGGGUUUCUAAGAGUUCUUUUACGCAUGUUAUAACUGAUUUAUUUAUGAUUUAACAUUUUCCUUGUUUAUUUUGGCCUAUUCUUAUGCUCCUACUUCUUUUUAACUUGACUCUACUAAUAGCCCUAAUUUAUAAAGAUUUUCUUUUCUUUGGUUAUAUGUGUUAGCCUGCUUUUCUUUGCCUUGAUUCUAUGUGUUAAGCAUCAUUCCUUCGCUUUGGUUAUGUGUGUUAGCCUGAUUUUUUUUUUGCCUUCGUUUUGUGUGUUAACAUGACUUUCUUUGCCUUGGUUCUGUGUUCUAGCCUAUUUACCUAAAUAUUGUUAAUUCACCAGGCCUCGAAUAUGUUCUGCUAAAUCUUAGCCUACUUAUACCACCUUUGAAUUAAUGGGUUUGCUCAUCUCUUAUUUCUUUUUGUCUAUAUGGUUGACUUUGUUUAUUACUCUUGUUCAUCCACCUCUAUUUAUAUGUUGAAAAUACCAAACCAUGACUUCCCAUGAUUGAUUUUGAUUUUCCUUAAUUGUUGGUAAUUGAAAGAUUUUCUUUCAAAACCCUAGAAUUCUACUCGUCUAUUUAAAUUAACUGACUAUGGUCCCUUGUUUUACUAAGCUUUUCCUUAAUUGGGUUUUUCCUAAAUUUGGUCCUAAUGGACUACUCUAUGACUACUGAACCUUGACUCCAUCCUUAUUUAGUCAUGCACUGAUUGUUCUUCUUGCCAUAUAUGGUACUGAAUGUUUUCGUUUGAUCUUGAUUCCCUUAACUUAAGGGAGUACUUCCUUAUUCACUAAUUGAUUGAUUCUGAGUUCUUAAAUUAAUAUACUACUAUGAUUUUUACCUUAUUUCAUUACCAAUUUUCAACUAUUAAUACCCUAAGUCUUUCACAAGAAACAUACACUUUUAGUUCUGAACUCACACUUACAGUCAAACACUCUCUUGCUUCACUACUUGCACUGUGACCUGUUUAGCUGGCUGAAAGCCAAGGCUAUAUUUCGAACCUGCUACUGUUCUUUACUGCAUUUUGCUUCUUUAACUGGUAUGUUCUAAUUAAGCUUUCAGUAUCGACAACAACAUGGUUACUUGAUAUUCUUGCAUUUUUGUCUGCCUACUGCUUGUAUCUAAUUCAGUACCUUCAUUUACCAUGCUGUAAUUUCUGAAUCAAUGUAGUAUGAAUCUAACAUCCCUAGCCCAAUGUGUUUUAAUACUUAUGGGUUGUUUGGGGCAUGACCACAUUGAAUAUUGCUGAGCAUGACUCAAACUUGGUCCUCCUAGGAUUAUAACCUCUAUGUUGCCCUUAUCUGUUGUGUGUUUUGGUUGAUUUCUCAAGAAUGAUAACAUUCCCUAUUGUUGUGUAUGCCCAGAAUUAACUCAUGCCUACGUAUAUAGGCUCCUUGCAAUGGAUUCCUAAUUCCCUACCCCCCCCCCCCCNNNNNNNNNNNNNNNNNNNNNNNNNNNNNNNNNNNNNNNNNNNNNNNNNNNNNNNNNNNNNNNNNNNNNNNNNNNNNNNNNNNNNNNNNNNNNNNNNNNNNNNNNNNNNNNNNNNNNNNNNNNNNNNNNNNNNNNNNNNNNNNNNNNNNNNNNNNNNNNNNNNNNNNNNNNNNNNNNNNNNNNNNNNNNNNNNNNNNNNNNNNNNNNNNNNNNNNNNNNNNNNNNNNNNNNNNNNNNNNNNNNNNNNNNNNNNNNNNNNNNNNNNNNNNNNNNNNNNNNNNNNNNNNNNNNNNNNNNNNNNNNNNNNNNNNNNNNNNNNNNNNNNNNNNNNNNNNNNNNNNNNNNNNNNNNNNNNNNNNNNNNNNNNNNNNNNNNNNNNNNNNNNNNNNNNNNNNNNNNNNNNNNNNNNNNNNNNNNNNNNNNNNNNNNNNNNNCCCCGGUGUGAAAUUAUAAACUCCUUGAAGUGUUAAUGGUUGUUUCCCAUUACCUUUUCCCUCUCCUUCAUUCCCUCAGUUGUUUACACUCAGUUUCUGCACUUUUAUUCUCCUCUUAGAUUUAAGCUCUGUCCCCCCCCCCCUUCAUGUGAGCCUUGCCUUGGGACCAUGAGCUCCCUCUAAACUUGGACACAUGAGGGCUGGUAUUUCUAUACUCCACUUGUCCCUAUUCUGGUAAUGUAUUUUGGGCGGAGCCCUGGCCGGGACCCUAUUUAGGCCCUUGGGGAACUCUGACUCAUUCAAGUGUGAGAAAGGCUUUGAAGCAAUGGCAGCUUAAGAUAGUUUAUUCCAUAGCUCAAGGAGGAGCCAAGAAUCUGACUUCCUCUAGUUGUAUUUUAUUUUGAUGUAUUUAUUAUUCCUUGUUUGUAAUAAUUUGUAAUGAACAUUUGGGGAUGGCUAGUGAAAAAGGUUGGGUAUCUAUGCAUGUCAAGAUAAAAACCUUUACCAUAGGACUAUAUUAAAUUUUAUGUAUAUUCACACUGCAUUUUUAGAGCUAUGCCUAUAGGGUGUUUCAAUGUUGCACCUUAGACAUCAUGCCUAUAUAGAUUUAUUCUGCACAUUUAACUUCACUUCUAGAUAACCUGUCUACAGCGAUUAUCCAAAAUUUGGCACGUUUAGAUAUCAUGUUUUACGGCCCAAGCGGUUGUAAUCUAGUAAUGGACUAAAAUCAGUAACAUAUAGAAAUCAUGCCUAUAGGGGUUCUUAAAUAAGUCUGAUUCACUUCAUUCACAGUCAAUAUUAGAUAUCAUGCUCCUACGGAUUAAAAUCAGGAAUAGUAGAUACUAUCACAAGCAGAAUCUAUAACCAGUCUAAUUUAAAUGUGUCCCUCCUGAGUCCUUUCUAAUGACCUAAUUACUUUAUUAACAAAGUUUAGCAAGAAUGCCUAUAGGAUUUCAUACAAGUUGAUUUGAGUUAUUAUUGUUUCGCCAUGUUCGGAAUUAAGUAGAUAUCAUGCCUAUAGGACCCCAUUUAAACACUUAGGCAAGCCUUAGGCAGUGUGAAUAAAACUAAACUCACCUCUGUUAUUUUUUUAAGUGCUACAAUCAGUAGGUAAGCCCAGUUCUUGUUUCCCAACUGAGUCAUGUAAUAAGCUAGGCCUGAUGCAGUUACAACAGUCUCCUCUUCCCUCAAGUUUAUUUUUUAGAAUCAUACCUUACUCUUUGGUUUAUGUCGUGCUAUUAGGUUGUUUUGUUUAAGGAGGUAUACUUGAGCCUUAUGUGUUUACGUGUUUUCCCUUUAACGUGAAGUUUUAUAUGUUUUGUAUGUCGCCUUAGAUGUUUUUACCUUUAAAAACUUAAUUUAGCCUAAUGUCCCUCCCUUUUAGGAUUAGUAAUCCUAAAUGCCUCCGAAACUGAGAAGAACGGGAAGGGUAAUAGCAUGCAAUAGUGAUCGAGACCAAUCCGUUCUUUCGUACCUUAAACGGGGUAGGAAAGGGUACAUAUGGAUAUGAUGACCGGUGCGUUAAUGCCACGUGUAUUCACUCUCUUGAGGAGUGAUUACUGCGUAUUGCAUUGAUGUGAUUCAUAUUUAAAUAUAAACCUAGGACCCCUUUCCUUUGAUUUGCAAACUUUUUCCUUUUUAAAAAAAACUCUUCUUUCAAGUGUUCUUUCUUUUAUGUGUUGAAAUCUCCCUAAUGUUUGAGCCCAUACAUGUCUAUUUGCUAAAUUCCCAAUACCUCUCUGGCCGGGAACCACACUAGUGGAUUAAUAACUAGGAAUUUUGAUGCAUUUUAUACUCCUUCUUACUCAUGAUUUGAUUAUAAAUUCAUACAACAUAGUCCCAAAAGUCUUACAAGUUGUGCUUGAUUGCAGGUUUGAUCAACAAAGUGACAAGAUGUCAAAGAUCAGCUCAAAAGGAGUGAAACUUGCACAAGUGCAAAAGACAAGACAAGCUCAUGUAAAAUAGGUCCAGUGCUGCCGCAUACCACUUUGUGCGGUCCGCACUAGACGGUUCAGAGAGCAAGUAUUCAGGAUAAAAGGAAAUGCGGUCGUACUGGAGUCCAUGCGGCUGCCUACCAUUCUAUGUGUUCCACAGAGCCAAGAUUCAGAGAAGUGCGGUUUGGAGCUUUCAAGCCAAAUACUGCAUGCAGUUCAUUUUGUGUGGACCGCUCUAGAAGUCAUCGCGGCUGCAGAUUCUAUGCGGUCCGCGGAGCCUGAACUCAAAGAGCUGGAUUUUAAAGCCAAGAGUCCUAGUGUGGCCGCAGUCCAUUAUGCUCGGUCCGCAGUAACCCUGCAGGGGCAUUUUUCCGGAUUUUUCAGCUUAGUAUAAAUAUAUUCUUUUUCCAUUGUUAGGGUAUCAGAUAUUGUAAUUAAGUAGCUGCGCCCGUGGGUUCGAGAUUCAUAACUAUUUUGGGAACUUUAGCUACUUUUAAUUAUCGAAUCUUUGUAUUUAACUUAGCAAUAAAUUAUAUGUGUUUAUGUUCUUCUAUUCCUUGCUUUCUUCUUUGAAUAUGAGUAGCUAGACCCAUUAGCUAGGGUUGUGGCUCAACCCUAGUGUGGAAAAUUGAUGGGUCUUGUAUUUUAGGGCUAAAUUGAUUAUGGGUGUUUCAUAUAUGGGUCGAUUUCAUGGUUAAUUUCUUAAUUAGUGGUAAGAAACACUAGUUUGUGUUAGUUGACUGGGUUCUUCUUGAGAAAGACGGCCUAAGUUUCCGGAAUUGAUCCAACAAGGAAUUGGGGCGUACUCAAGAGAAUGAUAGCCCCAAUUACAGGGUUAAACCUCGAGAGAGUAAUACCCGACAUGAACCUUAGUUGCUUGGGCAAAUUUUCAUACCCAAUUGGUCUUGAGAAAGUCAAUUGGACAAAAUCACUUGAACCAACGAGAGGUGUAUAGUGGGCAAAUUAGUGCAACGGUUAUAUCAUACUUCCCAAAUAUGUCAAAGAUGCAUUAGACUCAAGUACCCGUCUAUUGACCACCUAGGUGGAAAUCACUACCCUAGUACCUUUUAAACCUAUUUGAACAACUUAUAGCAUUUCAACUCUUAGCUUAAUCUACAGUUUGUAGUUUGAUAAAAGUAUAAUUAUAAAGAAAACCCCAAAAAUGAUUAGAAGUGUAACUAAGAACACAUAUGCAGUCCUAAACUAGAUAGAUACUCGAUUCUAAUUCUAUCUCUCUGCGGAUUCGGUCCCAAUCCAAAAUCGGGUAAAAUCUGCCCUGACCCUCUCUCUCUACUUAAUCAGUAGUGUGGAGUAGGCCGCAAUCAUCUUUUGGCGCCAUUUCUUGGGAGCGAACGAUUUUUGCUAUCUAUUUAAUUAGUUUUUUGUGUUGUUCUUUUUUCUUUCUUUGUUACUAAUAUAUGUGUGUCAAUAUUUCAGGUACGAAAUGGCUUUAAAUUCUAAUGACCCUAUUGGAAAUGUGCUUAUGGGGAAGGAGGUUGAUGAUAUUGGAGAGGAUGAGGUGCCUCUUGUACCUCCUGGACCACGACGAGGCCGCCAGGCAAAUGUUAACGAAAAUAUUCCAGACCCUCCUCCGCCACCUCCAAGAACGGUUCCUCGGGUCCUCCCGAACCAAGGCUAUGCAAGUGCUAUUGUCCCACCCAGAAUCCGGGCGGGCAAUUUUAAGAUAACCAAUGUGAUGAUGACCUUACUUGAGCAGCGUGGAUAUUUCACGGGUGUUGCAGAUCAAAAUGCCUACAAAUAUCUCAAAGGGUUCGUAGAUACAUGUUGGGGGAACAAGCUGAUGAAUGUUUCCGAAGAUGCUCUUAGGUUGAGACUUUUCCCAUUCUCACUUCAGGGGAAAGCAUUAGAUUGGCUCAAGAAACUUUCCAAACCAUUCCAUAACAACUUGGGAUGAGUUGGCGGGUAAGUUUACUGCUAAAUUUUUCUCAACUAGGCACAUGGAGGCACGUCAAGAUGAGACAUUGGCCUUCAACCAAGGGCCCACAGAACUUUUGCAUGAGAUUUGGAAGAGAUAUAGAACUAUGGUGAAGGAAUGCCCCAACAAUGACAUGAUGGAGAAUAUGUUGCAACAAACUUUCUACCGGGGCAUCAAUAAUAUAAAUCAAUGCAUAGUGAAUCAACCUGCAGGGGGUAACUUUAUGAAAUUGACGUAUGAUGAAGCUUUUUCCAUUCUUUAUGAGAUGGCAGAUACGUCCUUUGCAUGGCAAAGUAGAGCCAAUGUUCCUCAAGGUGACCUACAGUUAUUCAUUUGCAUAAAGAAUUACAUGACCAUGGGCAAGCUAUAGCGGAUUUGAACACUACUAUGACCAAUUGGCCAAAAUCCUCACCAAGUGAAUGACAUAGAGGAUGUGAACAAUCAUGUCAUGGCAUUUACGAUAAGAAGUGGGAGAGGUGGUAAUGUGAAUGCCUCCGAUCAAAAGCAAGUUUUGGGUGAUGAAGUUGAGUUGCAAGAAGAUGAAGUUCCUUUGGUGGUUGAGAAUGUGGUUGAUGAAAAUGUGAAUGAAGAAGUGAGGAUUGAUAUUCAAGAUACCGAGGUGGAAACACAAAAUGACGUGAACCCAUGUAGGGAACACGUAAUUGACAUGCCGGAGCCGGUCGUGCCAAAAGUCAAGGCACCCUUUCCUAGACCACCUCCACUUUAUCCUCAAAGGCUAGCCAAGCAGAAAAGUGAGAAUAAGUUCAAAAAGCUCAUUGACACGAUGAAGAGCUUAUCCAUCAAUGUGCCUUUGGUGGAGGCUUUGGAGCAAAAGUCUGGCUAUGCAAAAUUCAUGAAAGAUUUGGUGACCAAGAAAAGAUACAUGGACUGUGAAAACAAGAUGACCCACCAAGUUAGUGCUAUAGUAAAUUCAAUGGCUCUAAAGUUGGAGGAUCCCGGUGCUUUCACCAUCCCUUGCACUAUUGGUAGUGCGGACUUUGCUAAGGCUUUAUGUGAUCUAGGGGCAAGUAUCAACUUGAUGCCCGACUCAAUUUUAAAGACUUUGGGUAUUGGUCCACCAAGGCCAACUUCCAUGAGAUUGUAAAUGGCGGAUAGAUCAAUGAAGCGACCUUUGGGUAAUGUUGAUGUGCUUGUCCAGCUGGACAAAUUUAUUUUGCCAGUUGAUUUUGUGAUAUUAAGAUUGCAAGGUGGACUAUGAAGUCAUAAUCAUAUUGGGGAGACCUUUCCUUGAUAUGGGGAAGGCUCUAGUUGAUGUGGAAGCAGGGGAACUCACUUCUAGGGUGGGUGACAAAAACGUAGUAUUCUAUGUGUGCAAGUCAAUUAAGCAGCCCAAUUGUACUGAAGUGUGCUCAUUUGUGGAUCUAGUCACACCUGUGAUAAUUGAUAAUACAAGCGCUACGAUUAAUGUGGAGGACCCGUUGGAGGUCGUGUUGUUAAAUCUUGAUGUCAAUGAUGAUGAGGUCCGAGAGGAGUGCGUUAAUGCUUUUCAUGAAAUGGGUUCUUAUUCUUAUGAGCCUAGGAAGUUAUCCUUGGACCUUGAAAAUAGAAAGACUCCUCCAACUAAGACUUCAGUUGAGGAACCUCAUGUGUUGGAGUUGAAUCCAUUGCCUCCAAACCUCAGGUAUGAAUUCUUAGGCCCUAGUUCUACUUUACCAGUUAUUCUUUUCUCUUGUCUUACUAACAUGCAGGUAGAUGCCACGUUGGCGGUGCUUAAAAGAGGAAUAAGACAAUUGGAUGGACUUUGGCCAACAUUCGAGGAAUAAGCCCUACAUUUUGUAUGCACAAGAUCAUUUUGGAGGUUGACGCAAAACCCUCCUAGGAACAUCAAAGGAUGUUCACCGAAGCAAUGCAAGAAGUGGUGAAGAAAGAAGUGAUAAAGUGGCUAGAUGUUGGGGUUGUGUACCAUAUUUCUAUUAGCUCAUGGACUUUUCCGGUGCGAUCCGUGCCGAAAAAGGGUGGAAUGGUUGUGGUGACAAAUGAUAACAAUGAACUUAUUCCCACUUGGACAGUUACCGAAUGUAGGGUAUGCAUGGACUAUCGGAAGCUGAACAAGGUGACUCGCAAGGAUCACUUCCCGUUGCCAUUCCUUGACCAGAUGCGUGAUUGCCUUGCGGAGCGUGCCUUUUAUUGAUUUUUUGAUGGAUAUUCAGGAUAUAAUCUUAAUCGCUCUGGAGGAUCAAGAGAAGACCACAUUUACUUGUCCAUAUGGCACCUUUGCGUUCUCAUGGAUGUCGUUCGGGUUGUGUAAUGCCCUGGUGACAUUCCAAUGAUGGAAAUUUUUACCGAUAUGGUAGAAGAUAUUUUGGAUGUUUUUAUGGAUGAUUUUAGUGUGGUUGGUGAUUCAUUUGAAGAGUGUUUAGGAAAUAUGGAUAGAGUUUUGGCCUGUUGUGAAGACAUAAAUCUCGUACUCAAUUGGGAAAAAUACCACAUCAUGGUUGAGGAGGGCAUAUUGUUGGGCCACAAAAUUCCAAAGCAUGGGAUUGAAGUUGACAAAGCCAAGUAGCGGUGAUUUUGAGGCUUCCUCCCCCCACUUCUGUCAAGGGGGUGCGAAGUUUCCUAAGGCACGACGGGUUUUACCGGAGGUUUAUAAAAGAUUUUUCGAAUAUGGUAAACCCCUUGUGCAAGUUACUAGGAAAGAAUGCCAAGUUUGUGUUCUAUGAGGGGUGUAUUCAAGCAUUUGAUCUUCUCAAGCUUAAGUUUACCACUACUCCUAUCGCUACCGCACCAAAUUGGAUCUUGCCUUUCGAGCUCAUGUGCGAUGCAAGUGACGUUGCGGUUGGGGCUGUUUUGGGUCAAAAAGUUAACAAAAUAUUUCAUCUGGUGUACUACACAAACAAGACCAUGAAUGAGGUUCAAAGGAACUAACCGAUUACCGAGAAAGAGUUGUUGGCCAUAGUGUAUUAUAUGGAACGUUUCGGCCAUAUCUUAUGGGGACCAAGGUCAUAGUGUACACCGAUCAUGUCGCCCUUAGGCACUUCAUGACAAAGAAAUACUCCAAGGCAAGCUUGAUGCGAUGGAUGUUACUACUUCAAGAAUUUGAUCGAGAAACUGUGGACCAGAAGGGUAGUGAAAACCAAGUCGCAGACCAUUUGUAGUGCUUGGAAGAGGAAGGAAGGCCAUUUGAUGGCCUAGAGAUCAAUGAUGCAUUUCCCGGUGAGCAACUACUUUCCGUGUCUAUGAGUGAAAUGUCGUGGUUUGCGGAUAUUGCUAAUUACCUUGAUCUUGCAUUGUCCCGUGUGACCUCUCUUCUAACCAAAGGAAGAAGCUCAAGUGGAAAAGUUUGGAUUUCUAUUGGGAUGAACCUUAUUUGCUCAAGAUUUGCACGGAUGGUAUGAUCCGAAGGUGUGUACCGUAGGAAGAGCAAUUGAGUAUCUUAGGGGCUUGUCGUUCCACUCCCUAUUGUGUACAUGAUGGUGGGACGAGUUCCACUUCCAAAGUUCUUAGUUGUGUAUUCUAUUGGUCAACAUUGUACAAAGAUGUUAGUGAUCUUGUGAAGAGGUGUGACAAGUGCCAAAGAACGAUUGGAAUUUCAAAGAAAGAUGAGAUGCCUCUAAAUACCAUCCUUGGGGUUGAUAUUUUUUAUGUAUGGGGCAUUGAAUUUAUGGGCCCGUUUGUUAGCUCGUGUGGGAACACACACAUUCUUGUGGCGGUAGACUGCAUUUCAAAAUAGGUUGAAGCUGUGUCUUUACCCAACAAUGAGUCCCAAAGUGCUGUUUCAUUUCUCAAGAAGAGCAUUUUUACAAGGUUUGGUACUCCUAGACCAAUCAUAAGUGAUGGGGGUCGCAUUUUCGCAAUAGAGCUUUUGACACUUUUCUUCAAAGUAUGGUAUCAAUCACAAAGUUUCUACCCCCUAUCAUCCUCAAGCAAGUGGACAAGUUGAAGUCUCCAACAGGAAAAUCAAAAGCAUAUUGUCAAAGAUUGUCAAUGCAAAUAGGACCGGUUGGUCAAAGAAGUUAGAUAAUGCUCUAUAGGCAUAUAGGACUUCUUACAAGUUUCUAAUUGGUAUGUCUCCGUAUCGGCUGGUGUUUAGGAAAGCUUGCCAUCUACCAGUUGAGUUAGAGAAAAAGGCCAUGUGGGCCUUGAGGAAGUUGAACCUUGAGUGGGAUGUAGCUGCUAAUCUUCGGGUGGAGCAACUCAAUGAGCUUGACGAAAUUAGAUUUUAGGCCUCUUCUAGUUCGUCCAUGUAUAAGGAUAAAAUGAAAUACCUUCACGAUAAGUAUACUCAGGGCAAAGAUUUCAAGGUGGGGGAUUUGGUGCUCUUAUUCAACUCUUAGAUAAGGUUGUUCUCGGGAAAGUUCAAGUCAAAAUGGAGCAGCCCGUUUGAAUUAGUAUGUGUGACCCCAUUUGGUUCUAUUGAUUUAAAGAACAAAAAUGGUGAAGUUUUUAGAAUGAAUAGGCACCGAGUCGAGCAUUAUAUUGGAAAAAUUGAUGACUACCACGUGAUGGCACUCCUUCAUUUCAAAUGAAAUGAUGGUAAUAUGUGUCAUGCCGCGCCGUUAAAUCAGGUGCUUCUUGGGAGGCAACCCAUAUGUUUUUAUUCUUUUUUCUUGGAUUUUCUUUGUAGUAUAGGAUUGAUUUUUGGGCUAACUGGUUGUGAGAUGUUACAAGGUUGUGUUUACGCCAUGCAAGACAUAGUGGAAAAAAAUGCAUAGAUCAUGGAAAAUUCCUGUGUGGCCGCACUACAUAUUGUGCGGACCACACUGGUGAGGGUAAAAUGCAGCCUCUCUAAAGUUUUCCAGUGUGCCUGCACUGGACCUCUGCGAUCGCAGUUCAUUUUUUGUGGACUGCAGAGCGUUGCCUUCUCCAUCUUUAACAAAAUAAUGCAGUGCGGACCACGAUCCAUUUUGUACGUCCGCACUGGUUAGUGAGACUAGGCCCCGUGAUCUUUUCUACAAAUAGGGCAUGAGGGCCUCCUUUUACUCUUUCGUACUAUUAACUCUUAGAGCCUUAAAAACACUGUUCACUUUCUCAUUUGCUCGUAAUUGAUUGCUUCAAACGUGUUAACAUCCUUGUCAUCUUGUAUCUAGUAACCUAGUUUCUCUUUCAUUGCUUUAAUUUUGUUAAUUUUCCCUUAUUUUUCAUGUUCUUCUCGGCUAGUUUUAUAUGUUUUUCGUGUUUUCUUCAAUUAAGUAGGUUAGUAUUGUUAAUCUUUUGGUUAGAUUAGAAUUAGUUAGUUGAAUACUCUAGGUAAUCAUAUAGGGACAGACUUGAGUAUUAGUUAAGCUUAAAAUUGAAAAUUUAUGUAACCCUAAGUUGUGCUACUUCUGGGCACUCAGGGCGGACCAUGGUCAUUUCUGUGCGGUUUGUGAUGCCCCAAUGCAGUCUGCACUACCAUUUUAUGUGGAACGCAUCGAUGAAAAACCUAAAUGAUGAACCUCAGGGAAUAGCCGCACUAAAUUUUGUGCAGACCGCAUUGCCCUAAUGCACCCAUACUACCAUUUUGUAUGGUCUGCACUGUCAAGAUACAGAGGGUGGGUAUUCUGAACACCACACCUGCGCAGACCGCGAUCGAUUUUGUGCGAUCAGCACUAACCCCUAUGCAGCCGCACACCAUUUUGUGUUGUCCGCACCGAGUUGUUUCUGAGAACUGUUUGCAACUUUUCAUUUCUGUUCUGCAACUUUGGUUCUUAACUAAUUACAUUGAUAUUAACAAGUUCAUUUGGAUUAUGUUUGUAGACAAGUGAAACAGCGAGGGGGUAAAGGUUUAAAACAACCAGGCAGAGCUAAAUCUUCCCGGGGAGGGAAGCAAAAGAUGAUAAAACUCACUCCCUAAGCCAGGAAAAACAUCAAGAACAUGUAGAAGGCAAUAAAAGCUGCUGAUAAAGCUUGUGAUUAGUUGGGGAGUGAAUACGAGCCUUCCCAGGAGAUCUCCUCAGACUCUGUGCUAGAGUUCGUCCCCGACUGGCCGAGAGGCAUAGAUUGAGAACACUCCUCCACCAUCACCCACUGCCCAAGCACCAACACAUGUUCCUUCUGAGUCAUUUGAGGGCUCAGCAGCAAGUAGUAGGGAAUAUUUCACCACUCGUACAGCUUCUUUAUUCGAAGAGUGUGGACGAGGAGAUGAGAAAGAAGUAGAAUGAGAUGAGAAAGUGGGAGAAGGAGGAGAACCAAGUAUUAGGGGUGUUGAUAGAAAGAGGAAGCUGGGUUUUGGUGAGAUAGAUUUAUUAGUGAGGUGGCGUAAGAAAGUUGAUCUGGGAGCGGGGUUUCAUUGAUAGGGGACCUGCUACCUCACAACCCCAAUGUGUAGAGGCAACUUAGGACUAGAGUGGGUUGGGACCACUUCCUAGAUGAGUGUGUGGAUUCCAACGAACACUUAGUCAAAGUAUUUUAUAGUAAUGUAGCCCACAUCAAAAAGGGCUCCAAAGUGAUCAAGGUCUGGAACUUAAAGGUAUUGUUUAAUGGGAAGCCAAUAAAUGAGUACAUGUGCUUUAAUGAGAAGGAUACGACCAUGUACAUGGAGAAGAUGGAAAUGGGAGAAGAUGUCCAUCCAUGAUUAGCACAAUACCUAGCAAUCCCAGGUACCACCCCCCACUGGUUGACUGGUGGAGUCCGGAUUCUGAUACGGCAUUUGAAAUUUGAGGCACGGGGGUGGAAGACUUUUGUUUGCAGCCGGUUGGACCCUACCACUCAUGAAAACACCCUACCUCUCUACCAGGCUGUAUUAGUGGCUUCUAUCAUGGCAGAGUACCCUAUUAACAUGGGUAAUAUGAUGUCUAGAAUCAUUACUAUCGUGGUUCCAAGCAUGACAGAAAGUAUCCAUACCCCAACACCCUAACUAUGUACUUCUAGGACUUGAAGAGGGAAAAGAGACCCUUCGACAUCAGAGUCACGACAAAGUCUCUUUUUUCCAGGUACAGCAUGCAGGAGGAUGACAACCUCAAGAGCAAGAACUUCAAAGGUACAACUACUGCUCCAACUGGCCAGUUUGAAGAGCCAGUUGUGGUAGUGGAUCCUGCUGAGCCCAUUUCUACUUCCACAGAUAUCCCUCCCUAUCCAUCCACAUCCAUAGACACUCCUGCUACUCCAUCCACCAUAGAAGGCCCGGAGAUCCCAUCUUUCUGGGCCCAUCCCACUACUGCUCGACGACUGAUCUAAGCACUUCUUAGUUUAAACAUUAGAUGUAGACUGCCUCAUCCAAGUUUUCCAUACUCACUACCGUGGUAGAGGCUCAGUCGUCACCUCCUGCCCCACAGGUUCCCUAGUCGAUUGAGGAUGCUCUUAAAGAGAUUCUAGACAACCAAAAUAAAAUCCUCGACACUCAGGCGGUGCUCACAAAGGUAAUUGACUCACAUAGAAAGGCUAUGAAGGAACUUGCGAGAGAGCGCAAGAAGCUGAGGAAGACACGUGCCUCUAAGGAGUCCAUGAAAGAGAUGCCAGCAGAUAUUGACAAACUAAAGGUAGAUCACAUGCCUUUAGAUUUAUUACUCUAGGACCCUGUACCAGCAGAUCAUCUAUAGCCGGAGUAGUCACAAACGCCUCCCAAGAGGAGAAGGAUGAUCCCUCGAGCUGAUGAUGCAGUCAUCCAGCUGGCACACCCAUCGGAGACUUCCUCCAAUCAGCCAUAGGAUGCAUGUCCAGGCCUAGGUUCCCGUAGCAGAGCAGCAAACACAAGGAAACAGUAUGAGGUUCUCGAGCAUAUUGAGGACCCUGGGAUCACUCAGGAGCCCAUGCAGAAGGACAGACCAUAGGGAGUUUUCUAUAUCCAUUUCUUUUUUUGGUGCUUUAUUUAGACUAGUUGCCAUAAGGGACUAUGUCAGCUUGCAUUUGAGGGGGUAGGCCCUACAUUUUGGAUGAUUGUUUAUAUUUAACAUUUUUAAUGCUUUCUAUACUUUUCAUCUUUGUUCUGUAUAUAGUUAUGAUACUUCGUUACAUUUAUCGCAUUUUUAUUUCACAUUGGGUCUGUACAUAAAGUUUUAUCAUGGUGUAUAUAUUCAUCCCAUCCAUUGUAUAUUCAAUUCCCCUCUUUUAUAUAUUCAUUCUGUUUUUCACAAAAUUUUUCGUUCUUGGCUUCUUAUUUGUGAUUUGUUGCUUCUUGUUUUUAAAGUUUGCAAGAAGCCUUUGGUUUUCUUAAUGCUACGGUUCUUUCCAAAGGUGGAGUGUUGUGAAAGCUGGGUGUCUCCUCGCGAUGAUGAAUGGCGUGACAACCUUCUUAAGGGUUUGAGUCCGUCAUUUUUUUGUUUUUAACAGUUAGUAGUUAAGAGUGCCUCAAGCAAAGCAUCACUUGGGACUAGCAUAUUUGCCUUUGAUCUCAUGGUCAAAAACAAAUUGUUAUGUUUAGGAUGGUGAAAGUCGUGACCUUGAGACUCUUGUGUUGACCAAUAAUCAUCAAGUGAUUUUCUCGGACCAUUGUGUGCUCAAAUGGUAUCUAAGGUCGUUGUGGGCCACGAAUCUAUUCCUUUAGCAAUCCUUUAGCUUGUGUGCUGAGUAAUUGCAUUGCAAGUCCAAGUCCCGAGUCAUUGGUCUAGAAGUUUCUCUGAAUGUUUGUUGAAGCUAAAUCCUAAGUAAAUUUUUACUUGAGACAUGAUUACAGGCUGUGCUUGAUCCAAAUGAUAGUUUGAACAAUUCCAUAGCACACUAAUGAUAUGAUACCUAGUCAACCCUUUUUGAGCCUUAGACGCUUUUCUUUCAAGAACCAUGAUACAAGCCUAUACCCAUUCCGAAAGAUACCCUCUCUCGGCACCCGAUCUUUCCUUUAGCACAUGGAAAACGUAUAAGUUUUAGGGGAGAGACAAGGAUUGCAGCAAAGUGGUAAAAAGGCACAAAAAGUGAAGAAAAGGAAAGGCAAUAAAAAAGAAAGAAAAGACAAAAAGAAUGAUCAACGUGAAAAAGAAUAAAAAAGGAUUCAAGAAAAACAAAGAAUGAAUGAUGCGGAAAGUUGAAAAAUGAGAAAAGGUUUGAAAUGCAUAAGAAAGAGUGUCAGUAUGUCUUUCUAACCCCUUAGAAAGAAGUGAAAUGGCUCAAAGAAUCAAGUAAAUGUGCGCCAAAUGAAUCAAAAGAAGUGCUAUAGGGAAGUUGAAACUUAGACUAACACAUUCCCUACCCUGAACCAAAAGCCUUCGCAAUGUCUCCAAAAAAUCCCUAUAUGACCUUAAGUUGAAUGAAGCCUACAUUAGUUGAUAUUCACAUAAGGGGAAAGUAUAUGGUACUCAGAGCCGGACUUGUGACUUUUUCUUGAGAGAGAUGAGUGAAUUUUCAUUAACCUCAUUUUGUGUGCCACUAUUCUAAAGGUGAGGUUUGCUUAGGUAGAGUUGAGGAUGUGUGAGUUUUGGUUCCACAAUGAUCAAAGUAAUUGAAAGAGUUCUUUGAUGUGGUUAGUCAACUCUUGAUGCUCUUGUGUCGCACUUGAUCCAUGGUUUUUCAAAAGAAUAAAUGUUCUUAAUGAUUCAUUUGUAUUGAGGGCAAUUGUUAGUCCCAAUUGAUACUAGUUGAUCUUUCUUUAGGACAGCUGAACAUUUCUUGGAUUUUGCCUUUAGGGCAAGUCUUAUUUUAUUUGCUUGAGGAAAAGCAAAAGCUUAAGUUUGGGGGAGUAGAUAACUAGGGAUUUUAAUACAUUUUAUACUCCUUCUUCCUCAUGCUUUGAUUAGAAAUUCAUACAAAGUAGUCCUAAAAGGCUCAUAAGUUUUGCUUGAUUGUAGGUUUGAUCAACAAAGUGACAAGACGUAAAGAUCAGCUCAAAAGCAGUGAAACUUGCACAAGUGCCAAAGAUAAGACAAGAUCGGGCAAAAUAGGUCCAGUGCACCCGCACUAGGAGGUUUCGAGAGCACGUAUUCAUGAUAAAAGGCAAUGCGGCUACACUACCCUUCUGUGCGGUCAGCAGAUCCAAAAUUUGGAGAAGUGCAUCUUGGAGCUUUCAAGCCAAUGCGGCCCACAGUCCAUUUUGUGCGGACCGCACAAUAAGUCAUCACGGCCGCAGUUCAUUCUGGUGUGGUCCGUGGAGCCAGAAUUCAGAGAGCUAAAUUUUGAAGUCAAGAGUCCUAGUGCGGUCGUAGUCCAUUCUGCGCGGUCCACAAUAACUCUGCAUGGCCACUUUUGUCCAGAUUUUUCAGCAUAGUAUAAAUAGAUUCUUUUUUCAUUUUUUAGGGUAUCAGAUAUUGUAAUUGAGUAGCUGUGCUCGUGGGUUCGAGAUUCUUAACUAUUUUAGGAACUUUUAGUUACUUUUAAUCAUUGAAUCUUUGUAUUUAAUUUAGCAAUAAAUUAAUAUGUGUUUAUCUUCUUCUAUUUCUUGCUUUUCUUCUUUGAAUAUGAGUAGCUAGACCUAUUAGCUAGGGUUGUGGCUCAACUCUAGUGUGGAGGAUUGAUGGGUCAUGUAUUUUAGGGCUAAAUUGAUUAUGAGUGUUUCAUAUUUGGGUCAACUUCAUGGUUAAUUGCUUAAUUAGUUGUUGCAAAAACUAUUUUGUGUUUAGCUGACUAGGGUUCUUCUUGAGAAAGAGGGUCUAAGUCUCCAAUAUUGAUCUAAUAAGGAAUUGGGGCGUACUCAAGAGAUUGAUAGCCCCAAAUAUAAGGUUAAACCCCGAGAGAGUAAUAUCCCACUUGAACCUUAGUUGCUUUUGCAAAUUUGCAUACCCAAUUGGUCUUGAAAAAGUCAAUUGGACAAAAUCACUUGAAUCACCGAGAGGUGUAGAGUGGGUAAAUUAGUGCAACGGUGAUAUCAUACUCCCCAAAUAUGUCAAAGAUGCCUUAGACUCAAGUACCCGUCAAUUGACCACCUAAGCGGAAGUCACUACCCUAGUACCCUUUAAACCUAUUUGAACAACUUGUAAAAUUUCAACUCUUAGCUUAAUUUACAAUUUGUAGUUUGAUAAAAGUAGAAUUAUAAAUAAAACACUAAAAAUGAUUAGAAGUGUAAUUAAGAACACAUACGCAGUCCUAAACUUUGAUAGAUACUCGAUUCUAAUUCUAGCUCUCUGUUGAUUCGAUCCCGACCAAAAAUCGAGUAAAAGCUACUCCAACCCCCUCUCGCUACUUAAUUAAUUGUGCAGAGUUGGAUCCUGAGGGGUGCGUAACACCUUCGCCUUGUGAUAAUUUCAAGCCCUUACCUAAUCUCUAGUUAUUCUAAUGAAACUCAGAAUUGAAUCUCUAAUUUUGUCCUAAUGCACCUUAAUCAUUAGGUGGUGACUCUUCAAAUGCAAACCCAGUUCCAAAAAAGAAUUUGUUGUCCCUCCAAAUGUCAUAAACCCGAUUUCGCAAGAAAAAAGGGCGCAACAACUCUUCGGCCUGCGGAUGUGAAAGAUAUACCUCGAAGUCUCUGGAGAAUCACCUUGCCUCAAGUAGUAGGAUUGAGUCGAAGUACCUGAAUCUGCACAAGAAAAAUAUGUGCAAAAAGGGCAUGAGUACACCGGAAUGGUACUUAGUAAGUGUCAAACCUAACCUCGAUUAAGUAGUGAUGAUGAAGAUGAGGUCCCUAUAGAUUAUAGCUGGAAAAAAUAAGGUAAAGCAGUAUUAAAUAUGACUAUAUAAUUAAAAGCUAAUAGCAAUAAUUAACACAUGAUAAUAAGAAUAACAACAACUAUAGCAGAGAAAAAAAAUCACAAAAAGGAAUGCAGUUUGUCACACCUCCUUUUUUCCUACACCCCGUGGGGCAUAAGGCAGUUUUUUUCAAACUUAAAGUUACAAUCGAAACGGGAUUAUUUUAAUUAAAAUGUAGAGUUGCCACUUGGGAUAGUUUAUGGUGUCCCAAGUCACCGAUUUAGAAUCCCGAAUCGAGGAAAGAUUGACUUUAUUUUACAUUCCACGAACACCAAAAAUUCGGGUAAGGAAUUAUAUUAAUCCGGGAGAACGUGUUAGACAUUCUCGGAUUCCGUAAUUUUAGCACGGUCGCUCAACUAUUAUUAUUAGCUUAUUAUCUGAUUUUAACACAUGUUUUGGCCUAUGGUAUAUUUUAAUUUAUUAACUGUUUUUUAUCAUUUUUAAGAAGAUUCAACGCUAUUUAAAAUACGCCUUGGACCAUAUCACAUGAAAUACACCCGCGUUCCACAACGUAUUUUAUUUAAAAUUAUAGAGAUUUGAUUUGGGUGACACAAAAUGCACAGCCUAGUUGAGGAAAGUAAUUUUUAAAAUAGAGCACCUAAAGAAAGCACUUUAAACUUUGCGAGGACCAUGAAAAAUUCAACUAAAUGACAUGCCUCGAUUUCUAAGGAUUAAAAUAUUAAUUAAGCUAGGGCCGCGCAUCUUGAAAUAUUUAUUUGGCACGGCACACCUCGAUUCCAAUUUUAAAGGGAACAUGAACUAAAUUUUGGGAGGGCUAUAAACUAUGUUUCAGCAUGGGCCACCCCGCCUCCAAUCUAGAUGGUGAAAUCCAAUUAGUUAAACACCACGGGAAUUUGAAUUCUAAUUUCAAAGGAGUGGUUCAAUCCAAACUCAUUUAACUAGGAAAGCUGACAUUAAAAUAAACAAUGAUUCGAUUAAGGAAGGAGCUUGAACUAAGACAAGCCCAAUUACUUAUGCGGAACUCCCACUUCAAAAUUAAAGUAAAAAACGUGCUCGAAUCACAAGCCCAAAAAGGCUGCGGAUACAAGCCCAUCCAAUCGAAUCCCUGCAGCUCAAAGAAGGGAAACCUGGACAUCAAACUAUCCUAUUCAACAGUAAUCCUUUAACUGAUUCAACAACAGUAAUUGUGCGAGAUUCUACCCUUGAUGAAACCUCAUUUCAAUAUAUUUAAUAACUAACAACACCCCAUGAGAUUUUCAAAUAAGUGAAUCUGAAUUCUAUUCAAGCUAACAUAUUUUAACGGAACCAUAUGCUUUUAAUUAUUUCAACGAAAGCAAACAUUAAGAUGUAAAGAAUUAGGCUAAUUUGAGAACUCUCAAGUUUGAGAUUAAACCCAACAUUCCUUUGAAAACCUUUAUGAAUUUCAAGUCAUUCAUACAUGGGUAAAGCAAGGCAGAAUACCAGAACUGAAGUGGCUAAGCUAUUAUGUAGAUCAUGGAAGAACAAUCUAGCAUACAAUAAGCUAAUGGAUGGGAAAACAGAGCAUAUCAGAUUUGCUAAAGAGAAACACAUGAAAGAACCAAUCUGAUGGAUAUACUUAAACACGACUAUAAAAAAACAUCUCCAAAGUUCAGCAAGAUACAUAUCAUCCUAAACUCAAGGACAUUCUUAAACUCAAACAACAUUCAAACAAACCCCAAAUGCAAACCUCUAAACGAAAUAUAACACUAACAACAUGGAUGAAAUAUACAUAAUGAAACUAAACUGAUGGACACGUGGACGAAAUAUAAUAAAUUCCAGCAGUUAUUUGACAACAAAAAGCUAGUAUUUGUAAUUUCUCUUCAAUUUAAUUACAUGGCUUUCACAUUUGCACUUCAUAUGUUACUCAAGAGUCAGUGUAUACCUGGGAAUAAAAGAGAACAAAACCCAGAUUUAGCAAUCAAACAGUAAUAGCGACAACAAACUCAAACCCAAACUUUAAAAGAUCUAAACACUCAAUCUGUUUCAAUCCAGGCGCAAGAACUUGUCAUUUUUAGUAUUUUUAACUAAGCAAUGAAGAUCAGAAACCAAAAACCAAGCACAAUUUAAGUAGUUUUCAACAAGAAAUAUGCAGGGAAUUCAGUAUUACUUUUCAGAGUCAGUUGUUUCAAACAAUAACAGCCACAACAACUCAAACCCAAACUUUAAGAGAUCCAAAAACUCAAUCCGUUUCAAUUCAGGUGCAAGAACUUGUCAUUUUCAAUAUUUUUUACUAUGCAAUGAACAUCAGAAACCAAAAACCAAGCACAAUUUGAGUAUUUUUCAACAAGAAAAAUGCAGGAAAUUCAUUAUUACUUUUCAGAGUCAGCCGUUUCAAUUGUUCAUGUUUUUUUUAUUUUUUUCCCUUGCUAGUGAAGUAAGAGUGCCUUUAUAGGCAAGGUUUUAGGGCUGCAAUGGUGAAAUCAAUUUUGCACUUUGAACCUUUGGAUAUUUUCAUUUUUGCUCAAAUGUCUUUAAUUUAAAAAUCAGAUUUUCAAUCUAGUCCCGCUUCCUAGUUUCUAGGAAGCUUCCUAUUCGGUUAAAAUAAGAUUCUUUCACCUAGUCUUCCUAAAUUACCUCCCAAGACCCUGUUAAUUACACCUAGGAACUCAAAUAGGUCAUGGGUCAAGUUGACGCAAUGUUUAACUAAGUGAACGGGCUGCCUUUCUUUUGCAAAUGGGUUAGAAACCCAAAGACCAAACAUCUAAAUGAACCCAACUAAAUCAGUAACAAAAGAAAACACAAAAGAUUUCAAAAACUAAAGCCUAUACUAAUUUAUUGAUUAACUAACAUAAAUGGGUAGGGAAUUAACUAAGCUAAUAAAUAAAAAUAACCUAACUAAACUAAACUAAUGAGACUAACAUAAAAGAGGGAAAAAUCAGAAGCUUAACUAUCACAUUAAUAAAACACAACAGGCCAAGAAAAUUGGAGAACAAGUAUUUUUUACGAUUCGAAAAAAAAAAGAAGUAGAGGGAACACAAGAACAGGAAACAAUUUCAACUCAGAAAAUUGGUGAAGUUUCAACCAAAGGAAAAAGAGAAGAAAAGAAGAGGAACAAAAAGUAAAGUAAAACCAAAACAGACACAAAGAUGAAUAAAAACCUCACCGAUUAAACUCGAAAUUACACUUGAUAUCCUAACUCACACAAAACUGAUGCUAAGCGCUUGUUCUCUAUCAAGAAUGAACGAACAACAUCAGUUUUGUAGUGAAUCAUCCUUCUAAUCAUGAGAAACACAAGCCUGGGUCAAUGCAUGCUACCAGGUUUGACAGGAAUUGUUUUUGAACUUUUAAGGCUCGAACUCGAAUUUAAGAUUCGAGGAGCUAUGGACAAAUUUAAGGGAAACCAACUAUGGAUUAGGUAUGAGGGGGUCAUGGUGGUUAUGUGCUAUUGAUUUGGGGUCGAUUGGGACAGCGGCGCUGCCAAAGAGGGUAGAGGAUUAGAGGGUGGUGCUCUAGGGUUCGUGGUCUGAAAGGUGACGAUGGGGUGAGAGACAAAAAAUAAGAGAAAUGAU